rnacentral:lncRNA from 1 species
UUUUUUUUCUCGUAAUAUUUUAGAUUCCGCCGCAGGUGGUACCUUGAUGGAAAUUACUUUGGGUGAAGCCACCAAAUUGCUUGAUAAUAUUAUGGCAAAUUAUUCACAAUGGCAUACCGAAAGAGCUCCUACUAGUAAAAAAGUUAAUUCGGUCGAAGAAAUUUCUUCUUUGAGUGAAAAAGUUGAUGCUCUUGUUAAAUUGGUUGCUAGUAAGAGUGCUCCUAUUGAUUUUAAUGAUAUGCCUUUGUCUACUUUGAUUGAGCAAAAUAGUGAUGCCAUAGAUGCGAAUUUUAUUUCUCGAAAUAAUUUCAAUAACAAUGCUUAUAGAGGUAAUUGUAAUCCUAGGCCUUUCCCUAGAAAUACCUCUAAUAAUUAUGGUAAUUCCUACGGAAAUAAAUCUUAUAAUAAUGAUAGGAACACCUGGGAUCUUGAGAACAAUAUUAAAGAAUUUAUCGACACGCAGAUGGUUUUCAACACUUCCAUAGAAGAAAAGUUGAGUAAGAUUGAUGAUUUGUCUAGAAGUGUUGAUAGAAUUGCUCAUGAUGUGGAAAAUCUCAAGAUGAAAUUUUUUUUGCCUAAGGUUGACGAAUCAAUUAAAGUUGUUUAUGUUUAUAUGGAUGAAAGUAAGAAAAGAACCUCUAUGCUUAGAGAUAAAAGAUAAUUUUUAGAAAAAGCGUUUUCUAGUGAUUUCUUUCGCAAAAGUGAUGAAGAUCUUAAAAUGAUUGGUGUUUCUUCUAUUGAUUCCUUGUUUAGUAAAGUUAAUAUUUAUGAAAAAAGGAAUGGAGAAGAGUCAAGUUUAGGUAGAAGGCGUCCCAAUAUUUCGGUGGGUGAAAAUCUUGAUGUACCCACUCUUCAGCUAGUGGGUUUGAAGUGGGUUUGAAGAGGUCAAAACUUUAGCUAGUGAUGUACCCACUCUUUUGGAUUACAAAGACUUUAAUUAUGAUAUUUGCUCUUUGAUUGAUUGUAUUUCUUUGUUGCAAUCCAUGAUAAAUUCACCCCAUGCUUAUGAACAAAAUAAAGCUUUUACUAAACAUAUUGUUGAUGUUAUGAUGAAAGCUUUUGAAGAAAAAUUGGAAUUAGAAGUUUCAAUUCCCAGAAAAUUACAUGAUGAAUGGGAACCUACAAUCAAAGUCAAGAUUAAAAAUUAUGAGUGUUUUGCUUUGUGUGACUUGGGUGCUAGUGUUUCUAUUAUUCCGAAAUCUUUAUGCGAUGUGCUUGGUCUUACCGAUCUUGAAUUGUGUUCUUUGAAUUUGCACUUGGCGGAUUCUACUAUUAAAAAUCCUAUGGUAAGAAUUAAUGAUGUUAUUAUUAUUGCAAAAAGGGAUUAUGUUCCCAUAGAUUUUAUUGUUCUUGAUAUUGAUUGCAAUCCGUCUUGUCCAAUUAUUCUUGGUAGACCGUUUUUACGCACUAUCGGUGUCGUGAUUGAUAUGAAAGAAGGCAAUAUUAAGUUCCAAUUUCCUUUGAGGAAGGGUAUGGAACACUUUCCUACAACAAGAAUUAGGCCACCAUAUGAAUCAAUCAUGAGGGCAUCUUAUGGAUCUCGAACCAAAGAUGACAAAACUUAGAUCCUUGCUUUAUGCCUAGCUAUGGGCGUAAAACUAUAGCACUGGUUGGGAGGCAACCCAAUGAAUAAAAUUUAUUUGUGUUUUUUUGCUUCCUGUUUUUGAGUGUUAGCACAAUUAUGCUACUGUUAUGAUUGUGUUUUUUAUGUUUUAAUUAGUGUUUGUACCAAGUAAAGCCUUUAGGAUCUUCUUGGGUGAUAGUUGUUUGAUCUUGCUGAAAAAACAUAAACUUUUACUGUAACAUCCCAAUUUUCAAUUUGGAUGUUAAUCAUUAGGUCAUUACUAGUAACAUGCCCAUGCGUUGCAACGAAAGAAAAAAAUCCCCCAUCCGUCAAUUUUUGUUUGUAAAAACUACAAUAUCAUGAAUUGUCGCCUCCAACCACACAUUUGUUGUAUUUUCUAAGGAAACUAAAAUUCAAUCCAAAAAUAACUACACAUUGAGAGAAUCGUUUGAUAUAAAUUAGUGCUACAAAAGAUGUUGAGCACAUCAGUCAUGUGGUAAUAGUGUUACUCGGAUAUUUGGAAAAAACAUAAACUCAAUGCAGAGUAAACUUGGUUGUUGUAUAUAAUAAUUAAACCUUAUAUCAAAAUGCAUUAAACAACCUGAAAGAUGUGUUCCUAGAAUUCCAAUCCUUUCAUUGGGGUCAAAGAUAUAACCGAGCACAGAAACAUUACCUAAUUACUUUUAAUAUGGGUUGUAUAGAUUUAAUAUGGACAAAUAAUGGAAGCUAUUAAAAAUAUCUCAGUUAGUAGGUCACAAAGUAAACAAAUCCUAUUCAAAGAUAUAAAGCAUAUAACAAAAGGCAUCAUGCAUCAAAAUAUACCCCUUGCACUAAAGCACAAAACGUACAUUGUGCUACUUUGCAACGCACAAACCUAGUUACUCCCCAUUAACACUUAAGUUCGAAACAGGACAUAUGUAGGGUGUAGCGGAGUAAACAUUAUCACAACUGGAGCUAGAAAAAAGGAGCAUAAAAAGGAACUCUUUACAUAAACCAAAAGAUGCACACCAUACCUUUUUCAGACCUAAAUAUUUCAAUAUGUCUAAUAUCCCAAAAUAUUACAAAUAGAGUCAACUUUACAAUAAGAAUUGUUGAAUUCACAGUAGAACAUAUCACUAAUUAAAUGCCUAGCUGCAAACCGAAGAAUCAAACGGCCAUGAUAACUUAAAAACUAAACCCAAACAAGAAGAACAUAUCACUAAUUGAUUAUAUGGCUAUUGACAAGUAAGGCAUUUAAAAAUUAAAAUAAACCAUUAGUUUAGAUGAUUGUUAAGUGGUACUCCCUUCGUCUCAAAAUAAAUAUCUACAAAGUUGUACUAAAGUUGAGGCUCUUAUUUUCGAAGGGAGGGAGUAGUAAAGCUUUAAUAGAUCCACCUCUAAGAGUUCGACUUUGAGUAAGCUAUUUCCUCCUAAUGCAUGCACAAUUCUCGAGAACUACAAAAAUUAGACCAUAAGAAUUACACGUAGUUGACAGAUGAAACAUAAGAAUAGCAUGCCGCAUAUGCUUUUUAGAAGAAAAAAUGUCUACCUUGUAGCUUGUGUCAGGCUUAUUCGCAGCCAUAUAAAACCACAAGGUUCAAUAUCACAUCUGCCUCAACUGUUGACCGGUAUCCUUACCCCUUCAUAGUUCCUGGAUGUCAAGAUGGUUGCUCUUUCAGCUCCAUCCCUUACCAUUAAAUCUUCAGGGUUGUAAGAGAUAUGCAAUGCACAAUGCAAGAUCGAUAUGCUACGAUCCAUCAGCUGGUAUGUAGCUAUGUGCGCCAUAUAUGCUGCACCAAUUAGUCUUAUGGAACAUAACAUCAGCCAUCAAGCAGUGCAUCCUACAACAUAUAUUACAUUAUGGUUGUAGACAUGUUUCUCCAAGAUCUUGAUUGGCAGCUCGAUUCCUCCACUGGCCGGAGCAGCGUGUAGCCGAUAGAUCUUGCGCUGCUCUUUUGAGGGUGGUCAGCCAUGCAGUCUGCUCAUGGCAAUGGUGGCUGGAAGAAGGACGCCGGUACCGUGUUGUUUUCAAAAGUUGACGACAGUGUGCCAUGCUCGUCGCUAUCCACCGGAGCAACAGUAGGCGCCAAGUUUCCGGCAUGUCGUGUCGGACGGGAGGUGGUACUACACGUCGAUGCCUAGGUGGCCGCACUGCGGGACGAAGUACCUAGAGAAGCGGCGUCAGGGCCAAGAGUCGCCUCGAUCUAACAAGCUGGGACGGUCGGCUUCAGCCGCGCGUGGCGGUGCCUUGUCUCAGUCUGGAACUCUGGAUGUGCUUGCCGAGUGCACUACCACCGCACGUGAUACGUCGUGCCUCUGGUCUGGAUGUGCAUGCAAAUGCACUGACUUCUUGUGUCGUGCCAUAGCUAGUGGAUUCGCUGCGCCAUUACAUGAUGUGUCCCAUGUCGCCAUACACGGUGGUCGCGUGCAUGCGCUAAGUCAUUGUUCAUCAAUUAAGUUGUGUGCUUGCCUGCUUUAGGCUAGCUUUACACGUUCGUGUUGAAGCUUGUGUCUACAUGGUUAAGUUUCUAACUCAAAUUAUCCGGCGGUUAGGCGAAGGAGCUGGGAAGGCCCACGGUGCGGUGUCUGGGAAGAGGAGCUCCCACAGAGAAGGGGCUGACCAGCGGCUGGGCGGAAGAGCUCCGGUGAUGGAAGAGGACAAUGGCGGUGGCUGGGCGGAGGAGCUUCGGUCGUGGAAGAGGAUGAAGGACAGCGGCUGGGUGGAGGCAACCCGCGGUGGAGGCGUGCUUGUACAGGCGGCGGCACGGGGUGAAGAUGAUGAGGGCUAUGGCGACCUCAAUACCGCAGGGAAGGGCUGGCUCAAUAGCCUUACAAUUUGGGAUCGCACCUCUCGGCUCCCUCGAUCUGCUAGCUUCUGCAUCUCCCUUCGACUCCUUCGUCCACCACCGAUGUCUACGGACAAGCGACCUAUAACUCACGUGUGCACUGCGGCCCGGCUGAUCGUUCUUCUUGAAAGUGGACUCCUGGCGCGUGAUGGUCUAGCGCUGAGGCAGCCACCGGGAGAUAGCUCAGGGGAGGAGGUCUCGACGGCAUCAAUCCCCACCCUUGGAAUGAAACCCUCCAAGUCCCGUCGAGCGAUUCUUUCUUUUCCCGUGUCUUGCGUUCCUCUCAACAGAUUCGAGCGAUUGUUAUAAGCUAGCACGAGAUCGGUCAAGUUUGAUUGGCUUUUGUGGGCUGGGCUUGUUUCAGGCGGCGGCUGGUCUGAGCUAUUGGUCCUAUAUAGAGAUCGGUCAAUACAUGCGCUACGUGGCUGCUCGUCACGGAUUGUUCCUUUUUUAGAUAUUGGAGAGAGAUUUUAAAUCUCAGCCGUCAAUUUUUAUGAUUAAUAUAAAAUCAACGGAUAAAAAAGGGUGACGUAUGGAAAACUAUGAAACUCUCCUCCCUUUAAUAUUAGGUACAGAUGCAUCCAUAUUUUGAGCAAUUUGAAUUUGAUUAAUUUGGAAUUUUUGAUCCUAGAGACCUUAAGCAACUCAAGGACCAUUUGAGAGAGUUGGAGGUUUUCAUAAGAUUUCAUUUUUGAAUUUUCAAAAAAUUGGUAAACAUGAUCAAGGUGAUUUUUAUUUGAAAUUAUUUUUCCAAUUAUUUCAAAAUAAAUAAAAUAAUGAGAGAAGAUAACAUGACUUCUUCAAAACAGAGGAAAUAAUGGAAACUUAAUUUUAAAUAAAAAUAUUUUUUAUUUUAGAUUUUAUUUGAUUAAAUUAGGGCAAAAUUGCAUUUUAGCCCAGAAAAAUGUUCACGUGCUCCUAAAUAUUAGGAGAGGACCAUGAAAAUUAUUUUUGGGAUUUUAGGAUUUUUUUUAUUAUUAUUUUGAUUUUUUUUCCUUUUCGGCGAAAUUAUUAAAAAAAACUCUUCGACCGACUGGGACGAAGCCCAGCCGGCCCAGGCCACUGCCACCGCCUUCCCCGAGCGCGGGAGUCCGGCUCCCGCCCGGAAACCGCCACCACCGGAGUCCGGCCCCGACUCCUCCUCCCCGCGCCUGGCCCCCUCUCCCAAGCCAGGCUCUCCUCCUCUUUAUAUAGGCCGCCCCCUCUCCUCACUGCACCACCCCGCCGCCCAAGCCACAGCCGCCGCCGCCGCGCUGCACCAUCCCGCCGCCUCGUGUCGCCGCCGCCGCCGCCUACCUCGCCGCACCGUUGUGCCGCGCCACCGCCUCCCCGCGUCGCGAAGCCCGACCACCGCCGACGCCGCUGCUGCCACCUCGCCGGAGCACCGUGCCGCCGCCGGUUUCCCUUCCCUGAACCGGUAUAAACCGAUAAGACCCGACCAUUUUUUUAAAGAUCGGUUUUAUUUUUUUCGGUUUAUUAUUUUAGGUUUCGUUAAAUAGCGAGCGUUCACCCGAUUCAUUUAGUUAACGAACGAAUUCAUUCGUUAGCUUUUGUUAGCGAACGUUCGUUCGUUAGAUUUUUUCUUUUUAGUUUAGUUUUCGGCCAGGGACCCAUCCAUAAUUAUUUUCAUCACAGAUUAGUUCCUGAUCUUCGAACCCUCACUACUUUUUGCUCAUUUAUCCAAAUCCAGUGAAACCAAUGCCAAAAUCUUCGUCUUGUUCCCCUCUGUCCAGAUUAACAACUUGAACAUGAUUUUGGAAAUUUAAAAUUUGGUUUCAAGCAGAUUUGAAUUUGAACUUUUUUUAUCGUAGUUUGAGUUUCAUAACUCCGCUUCGAUUGAUUCUAUUUGCAAAUAGAAGAUCUUCACUUGAACUUUCAGUUUAGAUCUUUUAUUUUGGUUUUACCUUUGAAUCUUAUGCUUGAGUGCUUAUGUAUGCUAUUGUUUGUUCACGAUAGAGUUUCCGGAGUGCGAGGCUUGCUACUACGAAUCUCGAGGGUUUUCCGAUCGUCAGCAAGGCAAGUAACACUUUGAUCAUAUCCCUUUAUUACCCAGUUUUUAUGCAUUAGUUUCAACCCUCAAACAUUGAAUGAGUAGGAUUUGAUAACAUGUGGGUAUUGGGAAGUAGCUAAUGAGUGGGAACCUAUUGUCUUAUAUUAAACCCCGGGUUUACUGCGUUAUGAUUGCACUACUUUGCUAUGCUCGUAGACGUGGAUUGGUAUGUGAGUUUCAUGAAAGAUGUGAGAGUUAGUUAUAACUAAGGAAAACUUAAGGUGACUACAUUAAUACACAUCUGGGUGGACUGGUUGCGGGCACCUGGAGCAAUCUAGUGUUGUCCUAGAAUAUCCCGGAGUACCAGUGUGAUCAUCCUAUGGUUUGCCAUCCAGACUCAAAGGGAUCAUAAGAUUAUUCAUGCUAGAAACUUCCAUGUGCAGCCACAAGCCAUUAUGGGCUCUGGCAUAGUUGAGUAAGUUGUGUGACCUCUUUUAGUGGUAGGCUAGCAGAUGUAGGGGAUGUAGGUGGUACUGUCUACCCAGAGUAAAGAGUUAAUGCUUCUGAAAGACUAUGUCUCGGUCAUCCGUUUCUCAAACAUCAUGUAGUGUGAGAAAUCUAACGAAGGAGAUCGUGUCUUGUGGGGAAAAGUGCGCAAACCUCUGCAGAGUGUAUAAAAUAGUCAUGGUUAGCCAUGUCCCCGAUUAUGGACAUCUUGAGUAUAUGGUACUUGAAUUAUUGAUUUGAUCUCAUCACUUUGCUUGAUGAAAUUGUUGGGUUAUAAUUAUUAUUUUGGGAUUGAGUUGGAGGAACCUUCUCAAUAAUUGCAUAAAAUUUGUAGUUAAAUAAAAUAUAUUCCUUUGUUGUAGGGAAAAAUUAGCUUUAUGCAAAUGAUAACCAUGGAGCCUCCACCAGCCAAAUAUGCAUGUAGUGAUAGUUGUUAUUUUGUUCAUUGCUCUAUAGUGUUAUCUUGCCAGCAUAUUCCAUGUGCUGACCUACACGGCUGCAACGUAUCAUGUUGCAGAAUUUUCAAACAAAGAUUUAGGUGCGAUAGGUCGUUGUCAUGCACUCGGUAUUGCCGUGGAGUUGGAUGGACUCAUUUAUAUUCGAUGCUUCCGCAGUUAUCUUAUUUAGAUGGCCUUCAGCCAUAUUAUUGUAACAAGUACUCUUUUUGAGACACUCGUGUAAUAAGUGUGUGAUUGAACUCUGCAAUAAAUCCCCGAGUACUGUGUGUGUCAGCAAUACCGAUCCAGGGAUGACACUUAAGCAUAGAUACUACGGUCCAUUGGGAUCGAGUCGCUACAAGAUGGUAUUAGAGCACACGGUGACUGUAGGACCCGACCACUAGGAAAAGCCACAGGAUACUCUUCUCUACUCAUUCUAAUUCUUCUCCAUUUCUACUCUAUAGAUGGUGGACCCAAGGAACAAGUUCACUCAACCGGAUGACGACACCCCUUUCGGACGACACUUGAAGGAAGUCACUAGGUACCUGAACAUCAGCAUACCAAGCUUCACCGGGACCUACACCGCCACUUUACCACAAGAGGAGCGUUGGAUGAUUCAAGUUCGUGUUCCAGGAAGGACUUUUACACCAAUUACCGAGCCCAUCGAGUUUUCCUUUGAUGCACCAACCCGGAGUCUAGGAAAGAGCAUGGCCGCCCACAUCGCCAUGGGACGCAUCGGCGAGGUGUACAACAAGGAUCUUAAGAACACCAUCUACCAGAUAUGUGGACGCCAAGAUGAGCAAUGGGAGAUGAUUCGCACCAGGAAGGAUAGAUCCAUUGCACCCUACAUACAGGAGUUGAACUAGCACAUUUGAUGCUACGAGAACCAGAUGUGCGCCAACAUGAUAGACACAAAGAAGGUGAUGACCCGGAACAUGGAGCUGGAGGAAGAACUCAACUCUACACGCGAUGGAUAUGAAGAAGAAAUUGAUGUACUACUGGAGAAGAAUGAAGACCUGAAGAAGAAGCUAGGAAUAUUAAUGGGGGAUCCCAAACCUGGAGUGGACAUUCGUUCAGAGGAUUACAUCAUACUAGACGACACAGACUCCGACCCCGACAGCAAUGAUGAUUAUGAAGACGAAGCUGGAGCAGAUAUCAUGGAGUCUUCCACCGAUCAAAAUUUCUAGUCGACCACCAUAUUACCAUUAGUAUUCUCCCAUGUAUAUAGUAAUAGUCCACGAGAUUUUGUAACGAUAGCUUAGAUCGAUUGUAUGCAUCUUGUUUGAAUUGAGUGGUGUGAAAUGAAUGUGUUUGUCUCAUGUGCAUAUGGGUAGUGAAAUCUCUCUUUAGACCUCACUCUAUUCUAUUCUCACCCCUCUAAACCUAUCAGAUGCCUCCGAGACGUGACCCCGCAUUUUCCUUCCCACCAGAGCUCACUCAGUUGAUCCAGCAGCAGAAUGCCUUGAUGCAGUUGCUAGUCCAGAACCAAGGCAACAACAACAACAACAACCACCCACCGCCACCACCUCCGGUCGACAACUUAGCCCGCUUUCUAAGGUUAAACCCGUCGGUGUUCUCUUGUAGCACCGAGCCGAUUGUUGCAGAUGAUUGGCUCCGUAAGACUGGGAGGGAGCUAACCACCACAGGUUGCACAGAUGCUGAGAAGGUGCGCUUUGCCGCACAUCAACUGGAUGGACCCGCAGCCUCAUGCUGGGAGAACUACACAGUCACUUUCCCCGUGGCCAAUGUCACUUGGGAUCAGUUUCAGCAAGCAUGCCGCACCGCACAUGUCACAACUGGAGCUAUGAGCAUGAAGAAGCAUGAGUUUCGCAACUUAAACCAAGGAAAUCAUAUUGUGACCCAGUACGUGGAUGAGUUCAGCAAGUUAGCUCGCUACGCCCCAGAUGAUGUGUCCAUAGAUGUCGCGAAGCAGGAGAAGUUUCUUGAGGGACUGAAUGAUCAGCUGAGUAUGUAGUUGAUGGUGGCAACAUUCACUAACUACUAGGAGUUGAUAGACAGGGCUCUCAUGAUUGAAGGCAAGCAGCAACAGAUAGAGAACCGCAAAUGGAAGUAUGGAUAGGGGAAGUACAACUCUGGAGCUCAGCAGAAGCCACGUUUUACCCCAAACCCGGGAGGACAUACCCAUCAUAACCAUGGAGGCCAUUCUCAUAAUGGAGAAAGUUCACACAACCACAGUGGCCCUAAAAAUGGUAAUGGGAAUGGAGGAAACACCAGUCAGAACCGUUUCAACCCCACUAUACCCGCCAAGAAGGAUCUAAGUCACAUUACUUGUUUCAAGUGCGGGAAGACUGGACACUACACCACUGAGUGUCCUGAAGCAAAGAAGGGAAAUGGGAAUGGAAGCUAAGGGAAGAAGCCAAAUCCUUUCACCAGAGGUCAGGUGAACCACAUCAACGUGGAGGAAGUUGAAGAGCAGCCUGACGCGGUGAUUGGUAAGUUUUUGAUUAAGUCAUUUGUCGCCCUUGUUCUUUUUGACAUUGGUGCAUCGCAUUCAUACAUAUCAAAGGGAUUUGUGGACAAGUUUAAAUUGCCAACCUUAGCCCUUAGGUCACCCAUGUUAGUAAGCUCACCCGGAGCGAAGUAUCUGGCCAGCCAAUGGUGUCAUUGGUUGCCAUUAACCAUUGGUAGGCAUGUUUUCCCAUCAGACCUAAUAUUUUUGGAGUCACAAGGAUUAGAUAUAAUACUAGGCAUGGAUUGGCUAUCGAAGUAUGGAGGAAACAUCGAUUGUGCUAGUAAGUCGAUACUUCUCACCACCUCGGAGGGAAAAAGGAUCAAGUAUGUGUCUAGGCAUGCGCCAAGGAGGACUCAAGUGAAUUCACUUUCGGGAGUUGUUCAAGAGGAAGUGCCAGUUGUGAAGGAUUAUCCCGACGUAUUCCCGGAGGAACUACCAAGCAUGCCAACAGAUCAAGAUAUAGAAUUUUUGAUAGAGUUAUUACCAGGCACCAGACCAAUAUCGAAGAGACCGUAUCGGAUGCCUACAAAUGAUCUGGAGGAAGUUAAGAAGCAGAUUAAGGAGUUAUUGGAGAAAGGUUAUAUUCGACCAAGCUCGUCACCAUGGGGAGCCCCAGUGCUCUUAGUUGAGAAGAAGGAUGGAUCUUUAAGGAUGGUUGUGGAUUAUCGUGCGUUAAAUGAGGUGAUACUCAAGAACAAAUACGCACUACCAAUGAUCAAUGAUUUGUUUGACCAGCUACAGGGAGCUAAAGUAUUCUCCAAGACCGAUCUUCAAUCAGGAUACCACCAGCUGAAGAUCCGUGAACAUGAUAUACCUAAGACAGCUUUUGCCACAAGGUACAGGCUAUAUGAGUACACUGUUAUGUCUUUUGGUUUGACUAACGCCCCUGCCUACUUUAUGAGCAUGAUGAAUAAGGUGUUCAUGGAGUUCUUGGAUAAGUUUGUUGUGGUGUUCAUUGAUGAUAUAUUGGUAUACUUGAAGAAUGAAGAAGAACACAAGGAACAUUUGCGUUUGGUUCUCGAGAAGCUCAGGGAACAUCAGCUAUAUGCCAAGUUCAGCAAAUGUGAGUUUUGGUUGAAGGAAGUUGGAUUUCUCGGACAUGUUAUAUCUGGAGAAGGUAUAGCGGUAGACCCUUCCAAGGUUCAGUCUGUCACUGAGUGGUUGGCACACACCUCAGUUGGAGAGACACACAGUUUUCUUGGACUCGCAGGAUAUUACCGGAGAUUCAUUGAGAAUUUUUCCAAGAUUGUGAAACCCAUGACGGAGUUAUUUAAGAAGGACACCAAGUUCAAAUGGACCAAAGAAUGUGAGGCCAGUUUUCAGGAGUUGAAGAAACGUUUAGUUACAGCCCCAGUGCUAAUUCUUCCGGAUAUACGCAAGGAUUACCAAGUAUAUUGCGAACUUCUCACCGGGGACUUGGAGGUGUACUUAUGCAACACGGAAGAGUUGUUUCAUAUGCCUCAUGUCAGCUUUGACCUCAUGAGUUGAAUUAUGCCAUGCAUGAUUUGGAGUUAGCAGCCGUAGUGCAUGCGCUCAAGACCUGGAGACAUUUUCUUAUUGGAAACCGUUGUGAUGUAUACACGGAUCAUAAGAGUUUGAAGUACAUUUUCACAUAGAAGGAGCUAAACCUCAGGCAGAGGAGAUGGUUGGAGCUCAUAAAAAUUAUGAUAUGAAGCUGCAUUAUCAUCCAGGAAAGGCUAAUGUUGUAGCAGAUGCUUUGAGCCGCAAGAGUUAUGUUAAUACUCUCAUAACUGGAUGAUUACUUCAGGAGUUAGCCAACGAUCUCAGAGAACUUUGUUUGGAGAUAGUUCCGAGAGUUUUUGUUGCAGCGUUGGAAGUUCAGUCCAUGUUGUUGGGAAAGAUUCGAGAAGCCCAGAAGACUGAUAAGGAGAUUGUGGAGAUAAAGGAAAGGAUGAGUAAAGGAAAGGCCAAAGGUUUUCGUGAGGAUGAGCACGAAACUUUAUGGUUUGAGGACCGUAUUUAUGUGCCCAAUGACCCAGAGAUCAGGAAGUUAAUACUUCAGGAAGCUCAUGACUCGCCAUACUCGAUUCACCUUGGAACACCAAGAUGUAUUUGGAUUUGAAGGAACGUUUCUGGUGGACAUGUAUGAAGAAGGAUAUUGUCGAGUAUGUAGCCGUGUGUGACGUAUGUCAGAGAGUUAAGGCAGAACACCAGAAGCCAGCAGGAUUACUUUAGCCUAUGCCAAAACCCGAAUGGAAGUGGGAUAAGCUUGGCAUGGAUUUCAUCACUGGAUUACCCAGGGCACGAUCAGGUUAUGAUUCCAUCUUGGUAGUAGUAGAUCGCUUGACCAAAGUGGCUCAGUUUAUCCCCGUCAAAACCACUUAUAUGAGCGCGAAGUUGGCCAAGAUAUAUAUGACCAAGAUUGUAUGUCUGCAUGGAGUUCCGAGGACCAUCGUAUCAGAUAGAGGAACACAGUUUACCUCAAAGUUUUGGAAUCAAUUACACCAGAAUUUGGGUACCAGGCUAGAGUCUAGUAUAGCCUUUCAUCCGCAGACAGAUGGACAGACCGAGAGAGAAACCAAAUUCUGGAGGACAUGUUGAGAGCUUGUGCGCUAGAUUAUGGAUCUAGUUGGGAUGAUAAUUUACCUUAUGCAGAGUUCUCAUAUAACAACAGUUACUAGGCUAGUUUGAACAUGGCCCCUUUCGAAGCUUUGCAUGGGAGGAGGUGCAGGACACCAUUGAUGUGGGAUGAAGUUGGAUACCGUCAGUUGUUCAGACCAGAUUUAAUCAGAGAGUCUGAAGAGAAAGUUAAGUUGAUUCGUGAUAGACUGAAGGUAGCUCAAUCUAGGCAGAAGAGUUAUGCUGACACUAAAUGCAAGGAGGUAGCCUAUGAAAUCGGAGACAGAGCAUAUUUCCAUGUAUCACCACUUUGAGGAGUUAAACGAUUUGGAGUCAAAGGAAAGUUAGCACCACGAUUUGUAGGACCAUACCGAGUUUUGGAGCAUAUGGGAGAAGUGGCCUACAAGUUGGAGUUACCCGAAGGUUUGUCAGGAGUUCAUGAUGUGCUUUACGUUUCCCAGUUGAAGAAGUGCCAUGCAGAGAUGGCCGAUAUUCCUCUGAGAGAUACAGUAUCCCUGGAAGCAAUUCAGUUGGAGAGUGAUCUAACCUACGAGGAGAAACCCGUCAAGAUUCUCGAGUUUGCCAGCCGAGUUACACGUAGCAAGGUCAUCAAGUUUUGCAGAGUUCAGUGGAGCCACCAUACCGACGAAGAAGCCACCUGGGAGCGAGAAGAAGACCUACGGAAAGACCACCCACACCUAUUUGCUAGCCAACCCGAAUCUCGAGGGCGAGAUUCAUCUUAAGGGGGGUAGGAUUGUAACAUCCUAAUUUUCAAUUUGGAUGUUAAUCAUUAGGUCAUUAUGCAUCCAUAUUUUGAGCAUUUUGAAUUUGAUUUAUUUGGACUUUUUUAUCCUAGAGACCUUAAGCAACUCAAGGACCAUUUGAGAGAGUUGGAGGUUUCCAUAAAAUUCCAUUUUUGAAUUUUCAAAAAAUUGGUAAGGUGAUUUUAUUUGAAAUUAUUUUUCCAAUUAUUUCAAAAUAAAUAAAAUAAUGAGAGAAGAUAAUCUGACUUCUUCAAAUAGAGGAAAUAAUGGAAAUUUAAUUUUAAAUAAAAAUAUAUUUUAUUUGAUUUUUAUUUGAGAUUUUAUUUGAUUAAAUUAGGGAAAAUUGCAUUUUUAAAAAUUGCAUUUUAGCCCCAAAAAUGUUCAAGUUGUCCUAAAUAUAAGGAGAGGACCGUGAAAAUUAUUUUUGAGAUUUUAGCAUUUUUUAUUUUUUUUAUUUUGGAUUUUUUUUCCUUUUCGGUGAAAUUAUUAAAAAAAACUCUUCGACCGACUCGGCCGAAGCCCAGCCGGCCCAGGCCGCCGCCACCGCCUUCCCCGAGCGCGGGAGUCCGACUCCCACCCGGAAGCUGUCGCCGCCGGAGUCCGGCCCCGACUCCGCCUCCCUGCCGCCUUGCCCCCUCGCCAAGCCAGCCUUCCCCCUCUUUAAAUAGGCUGCCCCUUCUCCUUACCGCACCAUCCCGCCACCCAUGCCGCAGCCGCCGCCGCCACCCUCGCCGCACCACCCCGUCGCCUCGCGCCACCGCUGUCGCCGCCUGCCUCGCCGCGCCACUGCCUCCCCGCGUCGCGAAGCCCUGCCGCCACCCAACGCCGCUGCCGCCACCUCGCCGGAGCACCGCACCGCCGCCGCCGGUUUCCAUUCCCUGAACCGGUAUAAACCGAUAAGACCUGGCCUUUUUUUAAAGAUCGGUUUUGUUUUUUUUCAGUUUAUUAUUUUAGGUUUCGUUAAAUAGCGAGCGUUCACCCGAUUCGUUUAGUUAACGGACGAAUUCAUUCGUUAGCUUUUGUUAGCGAACGUUCAUUCGUUAGAUUUUUCUUUUUAGUUUAAUUUUCGGCCAGGGACCCAUUCGUAAUUAUUUUCAUUGCAGAUUAGUCCCUGAUCUUCAAACCCUCACUACUUUUUGCUCGUUUAUCCAAAUCUAGUGAAACCAAUGCCAAAAUCUUCGUCUUGCUCCCCUCUGUCCAGAUUAACAACUUGAACAUGAUUUUGGAAAUUUAAAAUUUGGUUUCAAGCAGAUUUGAAUUUGAACUUUUUUUUAUCGUAGUUUGAGUUUCAUAACUCUGAUUCGAUUGAUUAUUUUUGCAAAUCGAAGCUCUUCACUUGAACUUUCAGUUUAGAUCUUUUAUUUUGGUUUUACCUUUGCAUCUUAUGCUUGAGUGCUUAUGUAUGCUAUUGUUUGUUCAUGAUAGACUUUCCGGAGUGCGAGGCUUGCUACUACGAAUCUCUAGGGUUUUCCGAUCGUCAACAAGGCAAGUAACACUUUGAUCAUAUCCCUUUAUUACCCAGUUUUUAUGCAUUAGUUUCAACCCUCAAACAUUGCAUGAGUAGGAUUUGAUAACAUGUGGGUAUUGGGAAGUAGUUGAUGAGGUAGGAACCUAUUGUCUUAUAUUAAACCCCGCGUAUUACCGCGUUAUGAUUGCACUACUUUGCUAUGCUCGUAGACGUGGAUUGGUAUGUGAGUUUCAUGAAAGAUGUGAGAGUUAGUUAUAACUAAGGGAAACUUAAGGUGACUACAUUAAUACACAUCUGGGUGGACUGGUUGCGGGCACCUGGAGCAAUCCAGUGUUGUCCUAGAAUAUCCCGGAGUACCCGUGUGAUCAUCCUAUGGUUUGCCAUCCAGGCUCAAAGGGAUCAUAAGAUUAUUCAUGCUAGAAACUUCCGUGUGAAGCCACAAGCCAUUAUGGGCUCUGGCAUAGUUGAGUAAGUUGUGUGACCUCUUUUAGUGGUAGGCUAGCAGAUGUAGGGGAUGUAGGUGGUACUGUCUACCCAGAGUAAAGAGUUAAUGCUUCUGAAAGACUAUGUCUCGGUCAUCCGUUUCUCAAACAUCAUGUAGUGCGAGAAAUCUAACGGAGGAGAUCGAGUCUUGUGGGUAAAAGUGCACAAACCUCUGUAGAGUGUAUAAACUAAUCAUGGUUAGCCGUGUCCCCGAUUAUGGACAUCUUGAGUAUCUGGUACUUGAAUUAUUGAUUUGAUCUGAUCACUUUGCUUAAUGAAAUUGUUGGGUUAUAAUUAUUAUUUUGGGAAUGAGUUGGAGGAACCUUCUCAAUAAUGGCAUAAAAUUUGUAGUUAAAUAAAAUAUAUUCCUUUGUUGUAGGGAAAAAUUAGCUUUAUGCAAAUGAUAACCAUGGAGCCUCCACCAGCCAAAUAUGCAUGUAGUGAUAGUUAUUAUUUUGUUCAUUGCUCUAUAGUGUUAUCUUGCCAGCAUAUUCCAUGUGCUGACCUACACGGCUGCAACGUAUCAUGUUGCAGAAUUUUCAGACAAAGAUUUAGGUGUGAUAGGUCGUUGUCAUGCACUCAGUAUUGCCGUGGAGUUGGUUGGACUCAUUUAUCUUUGAUGCUUCCGCGGUUAUCUUAUUUAGAUGGCCUUCAGCCAUAUUAUUGUAAUAAGUACUCUUUUUGAGACACUCAUGUAAUAAGUGUGUCAUUGAACUCUGCAAUAAAUCCUCGAGUACUGUGUGUGUCAGCAAUACCGAUCCAGGGAUGACACUUAAGCACAGAGACUACGGUCCAUUGGGAUUGGGUCGCUACAUUUACGCUCACGAAAAUAAUUUUCAUUUUUUACCAGAUAGCUAUAACAUACCCAUUCCAAUUGCAGUAGAUCAAUAUACAAAUUCCUCAGGUCGUCCUAAUUUUUCAGAAUUUUCCGAGUUACAGAAGUAUUCUAAAUAAUCAGAUUGCUACAGACUGUUCUGUUUUGACACAUUCUGUUUUCUUUGUGUUGUGUGCUUAUUUUGAUGGCUCUAUGGUUUUCUUUCAUGAGUUUUUGCCAUAGAAAAGGUGGAAUACAGUAGAUAUAAUACAAGAACAAAAUAUGAAUUGGUUUGAUACAACACUUAUAGUAGUGAUUUAUUAUUCUUAUACUAACGGAUCUCACAAAGCUUUUGAUUAGUUUUGUGUGAUUGAAGUUUUCAAGUUUUGGGUUAUCUUACGAUGGGUGAAGGAAUAAGGAGUAGAAGAGCCUAAGCUUGGGUAUGCCCCGGCAUCCCAAGCUAUUAUCCAAAAAUGAGCAACCAACUAAGCUUGGGGAUGCCCCCGAUUGGCAUCCCUCUUUCUUCUAACGACCAUCGGUAUUUUACUCGAAACUAUAUUUUUAUUCAUCACAUACUAUGUGUUUUUCUUGGAGCGUCUUGUAUGAUAUAAGUCUUUGCUUUUUUUAUUUUGUGCUUUAAGUCUUGAUCCCUUUCCAUACACACCUAUUUGAGAGAGCCAAAAUUAUGUCAUGACUUGUUAGAAUUGCUCUCUAUGCUUCAGUUAAAUUUUUAUGAGCAAUGGACUUGCUCUAGUGCUUCACUUAUAUCUUUUUGAGCACAGUGUGCUUAGUAUUUUUGAAGAAAUGCUCUCUUGCUUCACUUAGAUUUAUUUGAGAGUUAGCAAAAUUUUCAAGAAAUUCUCUCUUGCUUCACUUAAAUUAAUUUGAGAGAAAGAAAUAUUAUGCUCAUGAUCUUCACUUAGAUUUGUUUGAGCUUGUCAAAAGCAACAUAUGAAAAUUAGUCCCAAAGUGAUAGAUAUCCAAGGAGGAUAUAAUAAAAACUUUCAUGAAGAUCAUUGGACAAAAUAAACUUGAUUCUUAGUAAUAGUUUUGAGAUAUGAUGAUGUGAUAUGUGAGUCAUCUUGAUGAGUAAUUAUGCUUUAGUAAGAAUAUUGGUGUUAAGGUUUGUGAUUCCCUAUGCAAGCAUGAAAGUCAAUAGUUAUGCAAUGAAAUUAUAUCCUACUUGUGGUGCAUUAUUCGGUGUUAGUUAUGCUUAAUGCUCUCUUAUGAGAUUAUUCGUUUCUUGGUUGGUCGCUUCCCAAUCUUUUGCUAGCCAUCAUUUUGCACUAAGUACGAUCACUACUUGUGCAUCCAAAAACCUUUAACCCAGUUUUCCACAUGGGUCCACUAUAUCUACCUAUAUGUGAUAUUCUUUUGUCAUUCUAAGCAAAUUUGCAUGUGCCAUCUCUAAUUUUCAAAAUAAACUUCUCUUUUGUGUGUUUGUUUCACUCGUGGAGCGGUGAGGGGUGGCUAGUAUUUUCCUUGCUAGAUGUGUUAUUCUCACGAUGAGUGCUUAUUCACUUGUCAUUGCACGAGAGUAAGGCAAAGGUAUUAGGGAUGCCCAGUCCCGAAAUGGAAAAAUGAAUUUACUUUAUGUUGUCAAAUAAUAAAUUCCUUGGAAAGUGUUGGUAUGGAGGGCACCCAUGGAUACAGUUAGCCAUGGAAAGUGAAAGUAUGGUGGAAAAAGGAAUAAACUUUAUUUUUUGUUUGGGAACCGACUAUGAUACAUCUAUGAAUGGAAAGUAUUGGGAACUCUAAGUCGUUUUCGUUGGUGGGAUGGAUACACCUCCCAAAAUGUUUUUAUCUCUAAGUUUUUCGCUUUGAGCUCUAGCACCUCUACAAAUCCCUACUUCCCUUUGCGAAGGGCCUAUCUUUUACUUUAUGCAAUUUUUAUUUUAAAUUUGAGUCUCCAUCUUCGCUUAUAAAAGCACCAACUAGGAGGCAAUAUGAUCAUACUUGAGUAUUGGACAUAGCUAAUAUGCGAGUGUGUUUCAUGAAUGGAUCAAUGGUUGAGAAUGAUGGGCUAGGGAUAGCCUAUUUUAGCGUUGAUAUUUUUUUUUCGAAUACGCAUAGAAAAGGGGGAAAAGGCAAAGAAAGCCCUCCACAGGUAUAGUUACAGCUUACAUCUUACAUGUUACACCGUAAUCAUACUCCACUCCACGCCAACCUAAUGGCCUAAUGGCCUAACUCAUGCACCCAACUACUCACUCAAAUUCCACGUGCUUAGCCUACCAAACAAACCGUGUAAUCACCCUUCAUGAGACCUGAUACGUCUCCAACGUAUCUAUAAUUUUUGAUUGCUCCAUGCUAUAUUAUCUACUGUUUUAGACAUUAUUGGGCUUUAUUUUCCACUUUUAUAUUAUUUUUGGGACUAACCUAUUAACCGAAGGCCCAGCCCAGAAUUGUUGUUUUUGCCUAUUUUAGGGUUUCGAAGAAAAGGGAUAUCAAACGGAGUCCAAACGGAAUGAAACCUUCGGAAACGUGAUUUUCUCAUCAGAUAAGAUCCAGGAGACUUGGACCCUCCAUCAAGGAAGCCACAAGGUGGUCACGAGGGUAGGGGGCGCCCCCCCUAGGGCGCGCCCCCUGCCUCGUGGGCCCCUUGAAGCUCCACCGACGUACUUCUUCCUCCUAUAUAUAUCCAUGUACCCCCAAACGACCGGGACGGAGCCAAAAACCUAAUUCCACCGCCGCAACUUUCUGUAUCCAUGAGAUCCCAUCUUGGGGCUUGUUCUGGAGCUCCGCCGGAGGGGGCAUCAAUCACGGAGGGCUUCUACAUCAUCAUCCAAGCCCCUCCGAUGAAGUGUGAGUAGUUUACUUCAGACCUACGGGUCCAUAGCUAGUAGCUAGAUGGCUUCUUCUCUCUUUUUGGAUCUCAAUACAAUGUUCUCCCCCUCUCUUGUGGAGAUCUAUUCGAUGUAAUCUUCUUUUUGCGGUGUGUUUGUUGAGACCGAUGAAUUGUGGGUUUAUGAUCAAGUCUAUCUAUGAAUAAUAUUUGAAUCCUCUCUGGAUUCUUUUAUGUAUGAUUGGUUAUCUUUGCAAGUCUCUUUGAAUUAUCAGUUUGGUUUGGCCUACUAGAUUGGCUGUUCUUGCCAUGGGAGAAGUGCUUAGCUUUGGGUUCGAUCUUGCGGUGUCCUUUCCCAGUGAUAGAAGGGGCAGCAAGGCACGUGUUGUAUCGUUGCCAUCGAGGAUAACAAGAUGGGGUUUCUAUCAUAUUGCAUGAAAUUAUCCCUCUACAUCAUGUCAUCUUGCUUAAGGCAUUACUCUGUUUUUAACUUAAUUCUCUAGAUGCAUGCUGGAUAGUGGUCGAUGAGUGGAGUAAUAGUAGUAGAUGCAGAAUCGUUUCAGUCUACUUGUCUCGGACGUGAUGCCUAUAUACAUGAUCAUACCUAGAUAUUCUCAUAACUAUGCUCAAUUCUGUCAAUUGCUCACCAGUAAUUUGUUCACCCACCGUAGAAUACUUAUGCUCUUGAGAGAAGCCACUAGUGAAACCUAUGGCCCCCGGGUCUCUUUCUCAUCAUAUCAAUCUCCAUCACUUUAUUAUUGCUUUGCUUUUACUUUGCUUUUACUUCAUUUACUUUGCAUCUUUAUACCAAAAAUACCAAAAAUAUUAUUUAUCAUCUCUAUUAGAUCUCACUUUCGUAAGUGACCGUGAAGGGAUUGACAACCCCUAAGCGCGUUGGUUGCGUUGAGCUAUUGUUUUUGUCUAGGUGUACGAGGGACUCGAGCGUAGCCUCCUACUGGAUUGAUACCUUGGUUCCCAAAAACUGAGGGAAAUACUUAUGCUACUUUGCUGCAUCAUCCCUUCCUCUUCGGGGAAAUCCAACGUAGUGCUCAAGAGGUAGCAAGACCUGCACUCCACUAGGCUCUUCCCUCCUGCUCCACCUGUCGCAUGACCAUGGCUACGCUUGGGGCGGCGUUGUCGAAGACUACUGCGUUUCUGUGUUUCCACAGUUUCCAAAGGCCAAGCAGGAUGAUCGCCCUAGACGUCUUGAUACACAGGUCGUGCUUAGCUCGGUCUUGGCACCAAGUAGAGAGCAGCUCCGCCCCACCAGGAGCCCAAGUGGGCUCCUCUAGGGCAUGACAGAUGUGCGUCCAAACUUCUCGAGAAAAGACACAUGUUAACAGAAUAUUUUGAAAGACAUGGUGGCUUGUUGAUAUGCUUGAGUAUUUAAAUUAUCAUGUCGAAACUAGACUAUUGCUUUCAACAAUAUAAAAAUCCAAAUGUCCAUGCUAUAAAGAAAGAAAUAUGAUAUGACAUGUUAGGCAACAUUCCACAUAAAAAGUUCUGUUUUAUCACUUCCCUACUCGAGAACGAGUAGGAGUUAGGCUUGGGGAUGCUGAUACGUCUCCAACGUAUCUAUAAUUUUUGAUUGUUCCAUGUUGUUAUAUUAUCAAUCUUGGAUGUUUUAUAGUCAUUUUAUAUCAUUUUUUGGUACUAAACUAUUGACAUAGUGCCAAGUGUCAGUUGCUGUUUUUUCCAUGUUUUUUUACAUCACAGAAAAUCAAUGUCAAACGGAGUCCAAAUGCCAUGAAACUUUACGGAGAAUUUUUAUAGGCCAAAAGGAACACAAUGGGCCCUGGCUGCGCCCGGGGGUGCCCCGAGGGAGGCACAACCCACCAGGGUGCACCAGGAGGCCCAGGCGCGCCCUGGUGGGUUGUGCCCACCUCGGGUGCCCCCCCCCCGACUGCCUCUUUCCUCUAUUAAUACCCCAAUAUUCCAGAAGCCCUAGGGGAGUCGACGAAAUAUUCAUCCAGCCACCGCAGAGUCCAGAACCACCAGAUCUAAUCUAGACACCAUCUCGGAUGGGGUUCACCACCUCCAUUGGUGCCUGUCCGAUGAUGCAUGAGUAGUUCUUUGUAGACCUUCGGGUCCGUAGUUAGUAGCUAGAUGGCUUCAUCUCUCUCUCUCUCUCUCUUGAUUCUCAAUACAAUGGUAUCUUGGAGAUCCAUAUGAUGUAACUCUUUUGCGGUGUGUUUGUUGGGAUCGAUGAACUUUGAGUUUAUGAUCAGAUCUAUCUUUUUAUAUCCAUGAAAGUAUUUGAGUUUCUUUUAUAUCUUUUAUGCAUGAUCUCUUAUAGCCUCGUAUUUCUUCUCCGAAAUUUGGGUUUUGUUUGGCUAACUUGAUCUAUUUAUCUUGCAAUGGGAAGAGGUAAUUUGUAGUGGGUUCGAUCUUACGGAGCUUGAUCCCAGUGACAGAAAGGGAAACAACACAUAUGUAUCGUUGCUGCUAAGGAUAAAACGAUGGGGUCUAUCUCUACAUGGAUAGAUCUUGUCUACAUCAUGUCAUCAUUCUUAUUGCAUUACUCUGUUUCUCCAUGAACUUAAUACACUAGAUGCAUGCUGGAUAGCGGUCAAUGUGUGGAGUAAUAUCAGUAGAUGCAGGCAGGAGUCGGUCUACUAAUCUUGGACGUGAUGCCUAUAUAAUGAUCAUUGCCUGGAUAUCGUCAUGAGUAUUUUAAGUUCUAUCAAUUGCCCAAUAGUAAUUUUUUCACCCACCGCUUUGCUAUUUUUCUCGAGAGAAGCCACUAGUGAAACCUACGGCCCCCGGGUCUCUUUCUCAUAUUAUUUGCCUUUGCGAUCUAUUUUUAUUUGCCUUUAUGUUCAGAUUUAUUAAUACAAAAACCCAAAAAUACUUUGCUGCACUUUAUUUUAUUUGCGAUCUAUUUAUUCAAUCUAUUAAAACUUUUUCCCGUCACAAACCAAUUUCUCACACCGUACCCGAAAGGGAUUGACAACCCCUUUAACACGUCGGGUUGCGAGGAUUUGUUAUCUGUGUGCAGGGGCUGUUUAUGUUGCUUGGUUCUCCCACUGGUUCGAUAACCUUGGUUUCAUAUCUGAGGGAAAUACCUACCGCUGCUGUGCUGCAUCAUCCCUUCCUCUUUGGGGAAAUACCGACAUAGCUUCAAGCGACAUCAUGUACCCAACAGUUUCUUUUGGGUAUCCUAUGAAGACACACUUCUCCGAUUUGGGUUCGAGCUUAUCAGGUUGAAUCUUUUUCACAUAAGCAUCGCAACCCCAAAAUUUAGGAAACGACGGCUUAGGUUUCUUGCCAAACCACAGUUUGUACGGUGUCGUCUCAACGGAUUUAGAUGGUACCCUAUUUAACGUGAAUGCAGUUGUCUCUAAUGCAUAACCCCAAAAUGAUAGUGGUAAAUCGGUAAGAGACAUUAUAGAUCGCACCAUAUCUAAUAAAUUACGGUUACGACGUUCGGACACAACAUUAUGCUGUGGUGUUCUGGGUGGCGUGAGUUGCGAAACUCUUCCACAUUGUUUUAAAUGAAGAACAAACUCGUAACUCAAAUAUUCGCCUCCAUGAUAAGAUCAUAGAAACUUUAUUUUCUUGUUAUGAUGAUUUUCCACUUCACUCUGGAAUUCUUUGAACUUUUCAAAUGUUGCAAAAUUAUGUUUCAUCAAGUAGAUAUACCCAUAUCUGCUCAAAUCAUCUGUGAAGGUCAAAAAAUAACGAUACCGGUCGCGAGCCUCAACACCCAUCGGACCACAUACAUCGGUAUGUAUUAUUUCCAAUAAGUCAGUUGCUCGCUCCAUUGUUCUGGAGAAUGAAGUCUUAGUCAUCUUGCCCCUGAGACAUGGUUCGCAAGCAUCAAGUGAUUUAUAAUCAAGUGAUUCCAAAAGCCUAUCUGCAUGGAGGUUCUUCAUGCGCUUUACACCAAUAUGACCUAAACGGUAGUGCCACACAUAAGUUGCACCAUCAUUAUUAACUUUGCAUCUUUUGGCAUCAAUAUUAUGAAUAGGUGUAUCACUACGAUUGAGAUCCAACAAAAAUAGACCAUUCAUCAUGGGUGCAUGACCAUAAAAGAUAUUACUCAUAUAAAUAGAACAACCAUUAUUCUCUGAUUUAAAUGAAUAACCGUCUCGCAUCAAACAAGAUCUAGAUAUAAUGUUCAUGCUCAACACUAGCACCAAAUAACAAUAAUUCGGGUCUAAAACUAAUCCUGAAGGUAGAUGUAGAAGUAGCAUGCCGAUGGCGAUCACAUCAACCUUGGAACCAUUUCCGACGCGCAUCGUCACCUCUUCCUUAGCCAAUCUCCGUUUAAUCCGUAGCCCCUGUUUCGAGUUUCAAAUAUGAGCAACAGAACCAGUAUCAAAUACCCAGGCGCUACUACGAGCAUUAGUAAAGUACACAUCAAUAACAUGCAUAUCAAAUAUACCUUUCACUUUGCCAUCCUUCUGAUCCGCCAAAUACUUGGGGCAGCUCCGCUUCCAGUGACCAGUCCCUUUGUAGUAGAAGCACUCAGUUUCAGACUUAGGUCCAGACUUGGGCUUCUUCCCGGGAGCAGAAACUUGCUUGCUAUUCUUCUUGAAGUUCCCCUUCUUUCCUUUGCCCUUUUUCUUAAAACUAGUGGUCAUGUUAACCAUCAACACUUGAUGCUCCUUCUUGAUUUCUACCUCCGCAGCCUUGAGCAUUGCAAAGAGCUCGGGAAUCGUCUUGUUCAUCCCUUGCAUAUUAUAGUUCAUCACGAAGCCUUUAUAGCUUGGUGGCAGUGAUUGGAGAAUUCUGUCAAUGACACUAUCAUCCGGAAGAUUAACUCCCAGCUGAGUCAAGUGGUUAUGGUACCCAGACAUUCUGAGUAUGUGUUCAUUGACAGAAUUGUUCUCCUCCAUCUUGCAGCUAUAGAACUUAUUGGAAACUUCAUAUCUCUCAACUCGGGCAUUUGCUUGAAAUAUUAACUUCAAUUCUUGGAACAUUUCAUAUGCUCCAUGACGUUCAAAACGUCUUUGAAGUCUCGAUUCUAAGCCGUAAAGCAUGGCACACUGAACUAUCGAGUAGUCAUCAGAUUUAGCUUACCAUACGUUCAUAACGUCCGGAGUUUCUCCUACAAUAGGCCUUGCACCUAGCGGUGCAUCCAGGACGUAAUUCUUCUGUGCAGCAAUGAGGAUAAUCCUCAAGUUACGGACCCAGUCUGUGUAGUUGCUACCAUAAUCUUUCAACUUUGCUUUCUCUGGGAACGCAUUAAAAUUCAAGGGAGCGGUAGCACGGGCCAUUGAUCUACAACAUAGGUAAGCAAAAAGUAUCAUGAUAAGUUCAUGAUAAAUUUAAGUUCAAUUAAUCAUAUUACUCAAGAACUCCCACUUAGAUAGACAUCCCUCGAGUCAUCUAAAUGAUCACGUGAUCCAUAUUAACUAAACCAUGUCCGAUCAUCACGUGAGAUGGAGUAGUUUUCAAUGGUGAACAUCUCUGUGUUGAUCAUAUCUUACUAUAUGAUUCUGUUGGGUUUCGUAGUAAUUUCAAAAAAAAUCCUACGCUCACGCAAAAUCAUGUGAUGCAUAGAAACGAGAGGGGAGAGUGUUGUCUACGUACCCACGCAGACCGACUGCGGAAGCGUUGACGCAACAUAGAGGAAGUAGUCGUACGUCUUCACGAUCCAACCGAUCAAGCACCGAAACUAUGGCACCUCCGAGUUCGAGCACACGUUCAGCUCGAUGACGAUCCCCGGACUCCGAUCCAGCAAAGUGUCGGGGAAGAGUUCCGUCAGCAUGACGGCGUGGUGACGAUCUUGAUGUACUACAGCAGCAGGGCUUCGCCUAAACUCCGCUACAGUAUUAUCGAGGACUAUGGUGGCUGGGGGCACCGCACACGGCUAAGGAAUAAAUCACGUGGAUCAACUUGUGUGUUUUUGGGGUGCCUCUGCCUCAGUAUAUAAAGGACUAGAGGGGGGGAAGGCUGGCCGGCCAAGCUUGGCGCGCCAGGAGAGUCCUACUCCCUCUGGGAGUAGGAUUCCCCCCCCCCCCCCAAUCCUAGUUGGAAUAGGAUUCGCGGAGGGGGAAAAGAGAGAGGGGGGCCGGCCACCUCUCCUUGUCCUAAUAGGACUAGGGGAGGGAGGGUGGCGCGCAGCCAAUCUAGGGCAGCCCCUUCUCUUUUCCACUAAGGCCCACUAAGGCCCAUAUAGCUCCCCGGGGGGUUCUGGUAACCUCCCGGUACUCCGGUAAAAUCCCGAUUUUACCCGGAACACUUCCGAUAUCCAAACAUAGGCUUCCAAUAUAUCAAUCUUUAUGUCUCGACCAUUUCGAGACUCCUCGUCAUGUCCGUGAUCACAUCCGGGACUCCGAACAACCUUCGGUACAUCAAAAUGCAUAAACUCAUAAUAUAACUGUCAUCGUAACCUUAAGCGUGCGGACCCUACGGGUUCGAGAACAAUGUAGACAUGACCGAGACAUGUCUCCGGUCAAUAACCAAUAGCGGGACCUGGAUGCCCAUAUUGGCUCCUACAUUUUCUACGAAGAUCUUUAUCGGUCAGACCGCAUAACAACAUACGUUGUUCCCUUUGUCAUCGGUAUGUUACUUGCCCGAGAUUCGAUCGUCGGUAUCCAAUACCUAGUUAAAUCUCGUUACCGGCAAGUCUCUUUACUCGUUCCGUAAUACAUCAUCUCACAACUAACAUAUUAGUUUCAAUGCUUGCAAGGCUUAUGUGAUGUGUAUUACCGAGAGGGCCCAGAGAUACCUCUCCGACAAUCGGAGUGACAAAACCUAAUCUCGAAAUACGCCAACCCAACAUGUACCUUUGGAGACACCUGUAGUACUCCUUUAUAAUCACCCAGUUACGUUGUGACGUUUGGUAGUACCCAAAGUGUUCCUCCGGUAAACGGGAGUUGCAUAAUCUCAUAGUUAUAGGAACAUGUAUAAAUCAUGAAGAAAGCAAUAGCAACAUACUAAACGAUCGGGUGCUAAGCUAAUGGAAUGGGUCAUGUCAAUCAGAUCAUUCAACUAAUGAUGUGAUCCCGUUAAUCAAAUAAGAACUCUUUGUCCAUGGUUAGGAAACAUAACCAUCUUUGAUUAACGAGCUACUCAAGUAGAGGCAUACUAGUGACACUCUGUUUGUCUAUGUAUUCACACAUGUAUUAUGUUUCCGGUUAAUACAAUUCUAGCAUGAAUAAUAAACAUUUAUCAUGAAAUAAGGAAAUAAAUAAUAACUUUAUUAUUGCCUCUAGGGCAUAUUUCCUUCAGAUUCACGUUUGAACUUUUGGUCUCAGUGUUCCGAGGCCAUAUCUGUACAUGCUAGUCUCGUCAAGUUUAACCCGAGUAUUCCGCACGUGCAAAACUAUCUUGCACCCAUUGUAUAUGAACGUAGAGCUUAUAACACCCGAUCAUCACGUGGUGUCUCGACACGACGAACUGUCACAACGGUGCAUACUUAGGGAGAACACUUUGAUGACCCACAAGUAUAGGGGAUCAAUUGUAGCUAUUUUCAAUAAGUAAGAGUGUCGAACCCAACGAGGAGCAGAAGGAAAUGACAACUGGUUUUCAGCAAAUUAAUGUCUGCAAGUGCAGAAAUUGUAAGUAGCAGACUAGUUUGAUAGCAAGGUAAUUUGUAAUGAGCAUGUAACGAUAGUCGUAACAAAAGUGCAGCAAGGUAGCCCAAUCCUUUUGGGGCAAAGGGCAGGCCAAAACGGUCUCUUAUGAUAAGCAAAGCAUUCUUGAGGGUACACGGGAAUUUAAUCUAGUCACUUUCAUCAUGUUGGCUUAAUUCAUGUUCGGUACUUUGAUAAUUUGAUAUGUGGGUAGACCGGUGCUUAGGUGCCGUUCUUACUUGAAUAAACCUCCUACUUAUGAUUAACCCUCUCGCAAGCAUCCGCAACUACGAGAAAAGUAUUAAGAAUAAAUUCUAACCAUAGCUUUAAACUUUUGGAUCCAAUUGGCCCCUUACGGAAUAGCACAUAAACUGGGGUUUAAGCUUCUGUCACUCUCGCAACCCAUCAUCUAAUUGCUACUCCACAAUGCAUUCCCUUAGGCCCAAAUAUGGUGAAGUGUCAUGUAGUCGACGUUCACAUGACACCACUAAGGGAAUCACAACAUACAUACUAUCAAAAUAUCGAAAACAUAUCAAGUUCACAUGAUUACUUGCAACAUGAUUUCUCCCGUGACCUCAAGAACAAAAAUAACUACUCACAAACUAUAAUCAUGCUCAAGAUCAAAGGGGUAUUAAAUAGCAUAUUGGAUCUGAACAUAUAAUCUUCGACCAAAUAAACCAUAUAGUAAUCAACUACAAGAUGUAAUCAACACUACUAGUCACCCACAAGCACCAAUCUAUAGUUCCGGUAACAAGAUUGAACACAAGAGAUGAACUAGGGUUUGAGAUGAAAUGGUGUUGUUUAAGAUGUUGAUGGAGAUUGCCCUCUCCAAGAUGGGAGAGUUGUUGGUGAUGAUGAUGACAAUGAUUUCCCCCUCCGGGAGGGAAGUUCCCCCGGCGGAAUCGCUCCGCCGGAGGGCAAAAGUGCUCCUGCCCAAGUUCCGCCUCGAGGCGGCGGCGCUCCAUCCCGAAAGUCCUCUCCUUUUUUUUCUAGGUCAAAAUUACCUAUGUACCAGAAUAUGGGCACCGGAGGUGGGCCUGGGUGAGCACAACCCACCAGGGCAUGCCUGGGCUGCCUGGCGCGCCCAGGUGGGUUGUGCCCACCUGGUAGGCCCCCUCUGGUAGUUAUUUGCUCCAAUAAUUCUCAUAUAUUCUAUAAAAAAAUCCUCAUGAAGUUUCAGCUCAUUUGGAGUUGUGCAGAAUAGGUAGCCUGACGUAGCUUUUUAGGUCUAGAUUUCCAGCUGCCGGAAUUCUCCCUCUUUGUGUAUACCUUGCAUAUUAUGAGAGAAAAGGCAUUAGAAUUACUCCAAAAAGCUUUAUUAUGGAUAAAAACAUCAUAAAUAACAGUAAGAAAACAUGAUGCAAAAUGGACGUAUCACACUUAUACCUUGAAAUUUAGUGAGGGGUCAUCUUAUAAUGCUACUGCCGUACUAAGCAAAAUAAGAUGCAUAAAAGAUAAACAUCACAUGCAAUCAAAUAUGUGACAUGAUAUGGCCAUCAUCAUCUUGUGCCUUUGAUCUCCAUCUCUAAGGAACCGUCAUGAUCUCCAUCGUCACCCUCUUGACACCUUGAUCUCCAUCGUAGUGUCGUUGUCGUCUCGCCAACUAUUGCUUCUACGACUAUUGCUAACGCACAGUGAUAAAGUAAAGCAAUUACAUGGUGAUUGAAUUUCAUACAGUAAAGCGACAACCAUAAGGCUCCUGUCAGUUGUCGAUAACUUUUACAAAACAUGAUCAUCUCGUACAAUAACGUAUAUCACAUCAUGUCUUGACCAUAUCACAUCACACACAUGCCCUGCAAAAAAAGUUAGACGUCAUCUACUUUGUUGUUGCAAGUUUUACAUGGCUGCUACGGGCUUAUAGUAAGAACCGUUCUUACCUACGCAUCAAAAACACAAAGAUUUUUUGUCAAGUGUGAUGUUUUAACCUUCAACAAGGACCGUCCAUAGUCAAAUUCGAUUCAACUAAAGUUGGAGAAACAGACACCCGCCAGCCACCUUUAUGCAAAACAAGUUGCAUGUCUAUCGGUGGAACCGGUCUCAUGAACGUGGUCAUGUAAGGUUGGUCCGGGACGCUUCAUCCAACAAUACCGCCAAAUCAAAAGAAUACAUUGGUGGUAAGCAAUAUUACUAUGAUCACCCAGAACUCUUUGUGUUCUACUCGUGCAUAUCAUCUACGCAUAGACCUAGCUCGGAUGCCACUAUUGGGGAACGUAGCAUGCAAUUUCAAAAAAAAUCCUACAAUCAAGCAAGAUCUAUCUAGGAGAUGCAUAGCAACGAGAGGGGGAGAGUGUGUCCAUGUACCCUCAUAGACCGAAAGCGGAAGCGUUAGCUUAACGCAGUUGAUGUAGUCGAACGUCUUCGCGAUCCAACCGAUCAAGAACUGAACGUGCGGCACCUCCGAGUUAUGCACACGUUCAGCUCGAUGACGUCCCUCGAACUCUUGAUCCAGCAAAGUGUCGAGGGAGAGUUUCAUCAGCACGAUGGUGUGGUGAUGUGAUCCGUGCAGUGCUUCGCCUAAGCACUACGACAAUAUGACCAGAGGAGUAAACUGUGGAGGGGGCACCGCACACGGCUAAGAGAACAACUGAUGUGUUUUGGGGUGCCCCCCUGCCCCCGUGUAUAAACGAGGAGGGGUGGAGGCCAUCCCAAGGGGGGGGGCAAGUGGGGGGAAAACGACUAGGACUCCUAGUCCUAGUCGGCCCCCUUUCCUUUCUUUUGGAGGCGGGAAAGGGAAGGAGGGGGAGAGGGUGAAGGAAAAGGGGGGCCGCGCCCCCUUCCCCUUGUCCAAUUUGGACUGCCCAUGGGGGGGCGUGCCACCCCUUGUGGGCUCCCUUCUCUCUCCCCUAUGGCCCAUGUUGGCCCAUUACUUUCCCUGGGGGCUUCCGGUAACCCCUCGGUACUCCGAAAAAUAUCUGAAACGCUCCGAAACUAUUUUGGUGUCCAAAUACUAUCGUCCAAUAUAUCAAUCUUUACCUCUCGACCAUUUCGAGACUCCUCGUCAUGUCUGUGAUCUCAUCCGGGACUCCGAACAAUCUUCGGUCACCAAAACACAUAACUCAUAAUACAAAUCAUCAUCGAACGUUAAGCGUGCGGACCCUACGGAUUCAAGAACUAUGUAGACAUGACCGAGACACAUCUCCGAUCAAUAACCAAUAGCAGAACCUUGAUGCUCAUAUUGGUUCCUACAUAUUCUAGAAAGAUCUUUAUCGGUCAAACCGUAAUGACAACAUACGUCAUUCCCUUUGUCAUCGAUAUGUUACUUGCCCAAGAUUCGAUCGUCGGUAUCUUCAUACCUAGUUCAAUCUUGUUACCGACAAGUCUCUUUACUCGUUUCGUAAUACAUCAUCCCGCAACUAACUCGUUUGUCACAUUGCUUGCAAGGCCUAUCAUGAUGUGCAUUACCGAGAGGUCCCAGAGAUACCUCUCCGAUACUCGGAGUGUCAAAUCCUAAUCUCGAUCUAUGCCAACCCAACAAACACCUUCGGAGACACCUGUAGAGCAUCUUUAUAAUCACCCAGUUAUGUUGUGAUGUUUGAUAACACACAAGGUGUUCCUCCGGUAUUCGGGUGUUUCAUAAUAUCAUAGUCAAAGGAAUAUGUAUAAGUCAUGAAGAAAGCAAUAGCAAUAAAAAUUAACGAUCAUUAUGCUAAGCUAACGGGUGGGUCUUGUCCAUCACAUCAUUCUCCUAAUGAUGUGAUCCCGUUUAUCAAAUGACAACACAUGUCUAUGGUCAGGAAACUUAACCAUCUUUGAUUAACGAGCUAGUCAAGUAGAGGCAUACUAGGGACACUUUGUUUUGUCUAUGUAUUCACACAUGUAUCAAGUUUCUAGUUAAUACAAUUCUAGCAUGAAUAAUAAAAAAUUAUCAUGAUAUAAGGAAAUAUAAAUUACAACUUUAUUAUUGCCUCUAGGACAUAUUUCCUUCAUACUAGACAUCCGGAUAAAUAUACAUGAUUUUCCCAAUGGUUAUGCUCAUUUAGUCACAACUUCGGCAGCCAAGAUUGGAGAGGUCUUGUAUGCUGAAACACGGUCCCAUGACUUUACGAGCAAGUUCUUUCGUGUUUGGGUAAGAAUAAAUGUUCUGAAACUGCUCAAGAGCACUGUCACUAUGGUUCGUGAUCUUAAGCGUCAGAUCUACAAAGUUAAGUAUGAAAGUUUCUCAGAUAGGUAUUCUGUGUGCGGCCAGGGUAUACAAACCGAACCGAAAACCAAAAAACGAACAAAAAACACCAUGUCAAACCAAAAUUUUGGUUUUCCAGCUUUUGGUUUUAGUUUCAGUUUUGAAAUCAAAAAAUCAUUAGCAUUUUGGUUUUUUCAGUUAGAAGCUGAAAACCAUUUGGUUAAACCGAAUUAACAGGAUUGUGGUUUUUUUGGUCAAAAAGCGUAAUGGGCUGCUACAGUACAAUACUUUCUAGCCCAUUUAGUGCUUCGGUUUACGUGAUUAGUCUGACUGCUUAUUCAACUUCUCUUUUUUAUCCUUUUCUGAUUGGUUUUUCCUCAUUAUGAUAUAUAUAUCAUGUAUUUACACGUGGAAGAGUGUGUUGUCUCAAAAAUUCACAUCAACUUUGGUUAAUUUGGUUAUUACCAAAAGCGAAACGAAAGUAAAUGGUUAUUACCGAAAACGAACCGUAUCUAUGUAUAAAACAGUGUAAACAAAAAAAUAGAAAUCGUAUAAACCGGACUGAAUCAAAACAAAAAUACUGUCUGCACACCCUAAGUGUGCGGCUACCUGGGAUACAUCUACAAAGAACACAGUGAAGAUAUCCGUCUACCCAGUGCAUUGGUCUUUUAAGCAUCUCGGGGCAUCUCCAACGUUGACUCUCAAAUCACCCGCAUACAUCCGGACCGCGUGGUCUGAACGUGUUGUGUCGUCCAAAGCAGGUAUGUAUCAGUCUGUUUGAUGGUCCGGAUGUACUUUCUCCCGCAAACUAGAGACAAACUAAAGGAGGAUUUGCGGGCGUCCGAACCAAUGCCAUGCCCGCGUCUUGUCACCCUGGCCCACCCAACCCUCCCCCUCUCCCUCACCCGUACGCGCUUUCUGCCCGAAAUGGCCAGCGCCGCUCUAGAGUGUCAGUGCCACCUUCAUGCCCGGCCAGAGCGGACGCAACCUCUCACUAUGGUCAUCACUGAAGCGACACGUCGGCCGAGUGAGCACCACUCGCAUCGCUUCCCGAUGCACGCGACUACUCCAUGUUCAAAAGACACCACAAUCGUCUGCCCGUCCAUCUGCCACCCACAUUAAUGACACACGGUUGUCAAGGAACCUACUCCGGCAUCAGUCGUCUGUCCAUCUGCCGCCCACCAUUGCCAUUCGGCGCUAUAUAAACUGUUGCCCUGGCCAUAGCUGCAUUCAUCCUCCUCCGGUCCUUUCUCCUCUAUGCACCACUCCCACCAUGGCCUUCUUGCACUCCAAAGCUCUCUAGGACGGACUAUCGCUAGAGCAGAAGAAGGAGAUGGCCGCCAUUGUUGUCGGCUGGUAACCGAAGGCCGACGACGUCCCAAUGGUGGACAGGGCCGAGGACGAGCUGGUGCAUUGCACCAUGACCAUCGGCGAGGCCCGUGCCCAUUACAUGGCCAUGGUGCGGGAGGAACGGGAGAUGAGCAGUUCCUGGAGGCACAGGACGACAUGACCUACAACCUUCAGCUCCUCCAAGAGCACCAAUAGGUGGAAGACCAGCUCAACGCCGGCAAGGAGAUCGCGCCGGACGCGGACGUGGCCGAGCAGGAGGCUAUUCUCGAGUCCUACCGCUCAGCCCGCGAGAUCCGCCUCGCCCGAUGGCAGUAUUGCUAGUGUCGGGCGGAACUAGAUGCCGCCUACAAGGAGUUCGACGAGGAUGCGACGAGGUGUGUGGCAAGACCGACGAGGAGGAGGACAUUGCCGGCUCCGCCGAGGCCGCGCCCCGCUGCCACGACCACGAAGGCGACACGUUCAUGAAGGAAAUAUGCCCUAGAGGCAAUAAUAAAGUUAUUAUUUAUUUCCUUAUAAUCAUGAUAAAUGUUUAUUAUUCAUGCUAGAAUUGUAUUAACCGGAAACAUAAUACAUGUGUGAAUACAUAGACAAACAAAGUGUCACUAGUAUGCCUCUACUUGACUAGCUCGUUAAUCAAAGAUGGUUAUGUUUCCUAACCAUGAACAAUGAGUUGUUAUUUGAUUAACGAGGUAUCAUCAUUAGUUGAAUGAUCUGAUUGACAUGACCCAUUCCAUUAGCUUAGCACCCGAUCGUUUAGUAUGUUGCUAUUGCUUUCUUCAUAACUUAUACAUGUUCCUAUAACUAUGAGAUUAUGCAACUCCCGUUUGCCGGAGGAACACUUUGGGUGCUACCAAACGUCACAACGUAACUGGGUGAUUAUAAAGGAGCAUUACAGGUGUCUCCAAAGGUAGAUGUUGGGUUGGCGUAUUUCGAGAUUAGGUUUUGUCACUCCGAUUGUCGGAGAGGUAUCUCUGGGCCCUCUCGGUAAUGCACAUCACAUAAGCCUUGCAAGCAUUGCAACUAAUGAGUUAGUUACGGGAUGGUGUAUUACAGAAUGAGUAAAGAGACUUGCGGGUAACGAGAUUGAACUAGGUAUUGGAUACCGACGAUUGAAUCUCGGGCAAGUAACAUACCGAUGAUAAAGGGAACAACGUAUGUUGUUAUGUGGUCUGACCGAUAAAGAUCUUCGUAGAAUAUGUAGGAGCCAAUAUGGGCAUCCAGGUCCUGCUAUUGGUUAUUGACCGGAGACAUGUCUCGGUCAUGUCUACAUUGUUCUCGAACCCGUAGGGUCCGCACGCUUAAGGUUACGAUGACAGUUAUAUUAUGAGUUUAUGCAUUUUGAUGUACCGAAGGUUGUUCGGAGUCCCGGAUGUGACCAUGGACAUGACGAGGAGUCUCGAAAUGGUUGAGACGUAAAGAUUGAUAUAUUGGAAGCCUAUGUUUGGAUAUCGGAAGUGUUCCGGGUGAAAUCGGGAUUUUACCGGAGUACCGGGAAGGUUACCGGAACCCCUCGGGAGCUAAAUGGGCCAUGAUGGGCCUUAGUGGAAAAGAGAAGAGGCAGCCCUACAUGGGCUGCGCGCCUCCCCCUUCCCCCAGUCCUAUUAGGACUAGGAGAGGUGGUCGGCCCCCUCUCUCUCUUUUCCCCCUCCGUGAAUCCUAUUCCAACUAGGAUUGGGGGGGGGGGGGAAUCCUACUCCCAGAGGGAGUAGGACUCUCCUGGCGCACCCCUUGUGGCCGGCCAGCCUCCCCCCUUUGGUCCUUUAUAUACUGAGGUAGAGGCACCCUAGAACACACAAGUUGAUCCACGUGAUCUAUUCCUUAGCCGUGUGCGGUGCCCCCAGCCACCAUAGUCCUCGAUAAUACUGUAGCGGAGUUUAGGCGAAGCCCUGCUGCUGUAGUACAUCAAGAUCGUCACCACGCCGUCGUGCUGACGGAACUCUUCCCCGACACUUUGCUGGAUCGGAGUCCGGGGAUCGUCAUCGAGCUGAACAUGUGCUCGAACUCGGAGGUGCCGUAGUUUCGGUGCUUGCUCGGUUGGAUCGUGAAGAUGUACGACUACUUCCUCUAUGUUGCGUCAACGCUUCCGCAGUCGAUCUGCGUGGGUAUGUAGACAACACUCUCCCAUCUCGUUGCUAUGCAUCACAUGAUCUUGCGUGUGCGUAGGAAAUUUUUUGAAAUUACUACGAAACCCAACAGUGGCAUCCGAGCCUAGGUUAUUUAUGUUGAUGUUAUAUGCACGAGUAGAACACAAGUGAGUUGUGGGCGAUAUAAGUCAUACUGCCUACCAGCAUGUCAUACUUUGGUUUGGCGGCAUUGUUGGACGAGACGACCCGGACCAACAUUACGCGUACGCUUACGCGAGACCAGUUCCCCCGACGUGCUUUGCACAUAGGUGGCUUGCGGGCGACUGUCUCUCCAACUUUAGUUGAACCAAAGUAUGGCUACGCCCGGUCCUUGUGAAGGUUAAAACGGAGUCUAUUUGACAAACUAUCGUUGUGGUUUUGAUGCGUAGUUGAGAUUGGUUCUUGCUUAAGCCCGUAGCAGCCAUGUAAAACUUGCAACAACAAAGUAGAGGACGUCUAACUUGUUUUUGCAGGGCAUGUUGUGAUGUGAUAUGGUCAAGACAUGAUGCUGAAUUUUAUUGUAUGAGAUGAUCAUGUUUUGUAACCGAGUUAUCGGCAACUGGCAGGAGCCAUAUGGUUGUCGCUUUAUUGUAUGCAAUGAAAUCGCGAUGUAGUGCUUUACUUUAUUACUAAGCGGUAGUGAUAGUCAUGGAAGCAUAAGCUUGGCGAGACGACAACGGUGUUACGAUGGAGAUCAAGGUGUCACGACGGUGCUUCGGAGAUGGAGAUCACAAGCACAAGAUGAUGAUGGCCAUAUCAUAUCACUUAUAUUGAUUGCAUGUGAUGUUUAUCCUUUUAUGCAUCUUAUCUUGCUUUGAUUGACGGUAGCAUUAUAAGAUGAUCUCUCACUAAAUUAUCAAGAUGUGUUCUCCCUGAGUAUGCACCGUUGCGAAAGUUCUUCGUGCUGAGACACCACGUGAUGAUCGGGUGUGAUAGGUUCUACGUUCAAAUACAACGGGUGCAAAACAGUUGCACACGCGGAAUACUCAGGUUAUACUUGACAAGCCAAGCAUAUACAGAUAUGGCCUCGGAACACGGAGACCGAAAGGUCGAGCGUGAAUCAUAUAGUAGAUAUGAUCAACAUAACGAUGUUCACCAUUGAAAACUACUCCAUCUCACGUGAUGAUCGGUUAUGGUUUAGUUGAUUUGGAUCACGCAAUCACUUAGAGGAUUAGAGGGAUGUCUAUCUAAGUGGGAGUUCUUUAAACUUGAUUAAACUGAACUUAAAUUUAUCAUGAAACUUAGUACCUGAUUAGUAUCUUGCUUGUUUAUGUUUGAUUGUAGAUAGAUGGCUCGUGCUGUUGUUCCGUUGAAUUUUAAUGCGUUCCUUGAGAAAGCAAAGUUGAAAGAUGAUGGUAGCAAUUACACGGACUGGGUCCGUAACUUGAGGAUUAUCCUCAUUGCAGCACAGAAGAAUUAUGUCCUGGAAGCACCGCUGGGUGCCAGGCCUGCUGUAGGAGCAACGCCAGAUGUUAUGAACGUCUGGCAGAGCAAAGCUGAUGACUACUCGAUAGUUCAGUGUGCCAUGCUUUACGGCUUAGAAUCGGGACUUCAACGACGUUUUGAACGUCAUGGAGCAUAUGAGAUGUUUCAGGAGUUGAAGUUAAUAUUUCAAGCAAAUGCCCGGAUUGAGAGAUAUGAAGUCUCCAAUAAGUUCUAUAGCUGCAAGAUGGAGGAGAACAGUUCUGUCAGUGAGCAUAUACUCAAAAUGUCUGGGUAUAAUAAUCACUUGAUUCAAUUGGGAGUUAAUCUUCCAGAUGAUAGCGUCAUUGACAGAAUUCUUCAAUCACUGCCACCAAGCUACAAGAGCUUCGUGAUGAACUAUAAUAUGCAAGGGAUGAACAAGACUAUUCCCGAGCUCUUCGCGAUACUGAAAGUUGUGGAGGUAGAAAUCAAGAAGGAGCAUCAAGUGUUGAUGGUCAGCAAGACCACUAGUUUCAAGAAAAAGGGCAAAGGGAAGAAGAAGGGGAACUUCAAGAAGAACAGCAAACAAGUUGCUACUCAAGAGAAGAAACCCAAACCUGGACCUAAGCCUGAAACUGAGUGCUUCUAUUGCAAGCAGACUGGUCACUAGAAGCGGAACUGCCCCAAGUAUUUGGCGGAUAAGAAGGAUGGCAAGGUGAACAAAGGUAUAUGUGAUAUACAUGUUAUUGAUGUGUACCUUACUAAUGCUCGCAGUAGCACCUGGGUAUUUGAUACUAGUUCUGUUGCUAAUAUUUGCAACUCGAAACAGGGACUACGGAUCAAGCGAAGAUUGGUUAAGGACGAGGUGACGAUGCGCGUGGGAAACGGUUCCAAAGUCGAUGUGAUCGCAGUCGGCACGCUACCUCUACAUCUACCUUCGGGAUUAGUAUUAGACCUAAAUAAUUGUUAUUUGGUGCCAGCGUUAAGCAUGAACAUUAUAUCUGGAUCUUGUUUGAUGCGAGACGGUUAUUCAUUUAAAUCAGAGAAUAAUGGUUGUUCUAUUUAUAUGAGUAAUAUCUUUUAUGGUCAUGCACCCUUGAAGAGUGGUCUAUUCUUGUUGAAUCUCGAUAGUAGUAACACACAUAUUCAUAAUGUUGAAGCCAAAAGAUGCAGAGUUGAUAAUGAGAGUGCAACUUAUUUGUGGCACUGCCGUUUAGGUCAUAUCGGUGUAAAGCGCAUGAAGAAACUCCAUUCUGAUGGACUUCUGGAACCACUUGAUUAUGAAUCACUUGGUACUUGCGAACCGUGCCUCAUGGGCAAGAUGACCAAAACACCGUUCUUCGGUACUGUGGAGAGAGCAACAGAUUUGUUGGAAAUCAUACAUACAGAUGUAUGUGGUCCGAUGAAUAUUGAGGCUCGUGGCGGAUAUCGUUAUUUUCUCACCUUCACAGAUGAUUUAAGCAGAUAUGGGUAUAUCUACUUAAUGAAACAUAAGUCUAAAACAUUUGAAAAGUUCAAGGAAUUUCAGAGUGAAGUUGAAAAUCACCGUAACAAGAAAAUAAAGUUUCUACGAUCUGAUCGUGGAGGAGAAUAUUUGAGUUACGAGUUUGGUGUACAUUUGAAAAAUUGUGGAAUAGUUUCGCAACUCACGCCACCCGGAACACCACAGCGUAAUGGUGUGUCCGAACGUCGUAAUCGUACUUUACUAGAUAUGGUGCAAUCUAUGAUGUCUCUUACUGAUUUACCGCUAUCGUUUUGGGGAUACGCUCUAGAGACGGCCGCAUUCACAUUAAAUAGGGCACCAUCAAAAUCCGUUGAGACGACGCCUUAUGAACUGUGGUUUGGCAAGAAACCAAAGUUGUCAUUUCUGAAAGUUUGGGGAUGCGAUGCUUAUGUGAAAAAACUUCAACCUGAUAAGGUCGAACCCAAAUCGGAGAAAUGUGUCUUCAUAGGAUAUCCAAAGGAAACUAUUGGAUACACCUUUUAUCACAGAUCCGAAGGCAAGACUUUUGUUGCUAAAUUCGGAAACUUUCUAGAGAAGGAGUUUCUCUCGAAAGAAGUGAGUGGGAGGAAAGUAGAACUUGACGAGGUAACUGUACCUGCUCCCUUAUUGGAAAGUAGUACAUUACAGAAAACUAUUUCUGCGACACCUACACCAGUCAGUGAGGAAGCUAAUGAUGAUGAUCAUGAAACUUCAGAACAAGAUACUACUGAACCUCGUAGAUCAACCAGAGUAAGAUCCGCACCAGAGUGGUACGGUAAUCCUGUUCUGGAAGUCAUGUUAUUAGAUCAUGAUGAACCUACGAACUAUGAAGAAGCGAUGGUGAGCCCAGAUUCCGCAAAGUGGCUUGAAGCCAUGAAAUCUGAGAUGGGAUCCAUGUAUGAGAACAAAGUGUGGACUUUGGUUGACUUGCCUGAUGAUCGGCAAGCAAUUGAGAAUAAAUGGAUUUUCAAGAAGAAGUCUGACGCUGACGGUCAUGUUACUGUCUACAAAGCUCGACUUGUCGCAAAAGGUUUUCGGCAAGUUCAAGGGAUUGACUACGAUGAGACCUUCUCACCCGUAGCGAUGCUUAAGUCUGUCCGAAUCAUGUUAGCAAUUGCCGCAUUUUAUGAUUAUGAAAUUUGGCAGAUGGAUGUCAAAACUGCAUUCCUGAAUGGAUUUCUGGAAGAAGAGUUGUAUAUGAUGCAACCGGAAGGUUUUGUCGAUCCAAAGGGAGCUAACAAAGUGUGCAAGCUCCAGCGAUCCAUUUAUGGACUGGUGCAAGCCUCUCAGAGUUGGAAUAAACGUUUUGAUAGUGUGAUCAAAGCAUUUGGUUUUAUACAGACUUUCGGAGAAGCCUGUAUUUACAAGAAAGUGAGUGGGAGCUCUGUAGCAUUUCUGAUAUUAUAUGUGGAUGACAUAUUGUUAAUUGGAAAUAAUAUAGAAUUUCUGGAUAGCAUAAAGGGAUACUUGAAUAAGAGUUUUUCAAUGAAAGACCUCGGUGAAGCUGCUUACAUAUUAGGCAUAAAGAUCUAUAGAGAUAGAUCAAUACGCUUAAUUGGACUUUCACAAACAACAUACCUUGACAAAAUUUUGAAGAAGUUCAAAAUGGAUCAAGCAAAGAAAGGAUUCUUGCCUGUGUUACAAGGUGUGAAAUUGAGUAAGACUCAAUGACCGACCACUGCAGAAGAUAGAGAGAAUAUGAAAGAUGUUCCCUAUGCAUCAGCAAUAGGAUCUAUCAUGUAUGCAAUGCUAUGUACCAGACCUGAUGUGUGCCUUGCUAUAAGUCUAGCAGGGAGGUACCAAAGUAAUCCAGGAGUGGAUCACUGGACAGCGGUCAAGAACAUCCUGAAAUACCUGAAAAGGACUAAGGAUAUGCUUCUCGUAUAUGGAGGUGACAAAGAGCUCGUCGUAAAAGGUUACGUUGAUGCAAGCUUUGACACUGAUCCGGACGAUUCUAAAUCGCAAACUGGAUACGUGUUUACAUUAAACGGUGGAGCUGUCAGUUGGUGCAGUUCUAAACAAAGCGUCGUAGCGGGAUCUACAUGUGAAGCGGAGUACAUAGCUGCUUCAGAAGCAGCAAAUGAAGGAGUCUGGAUGAAGGAGUUCAUAUCCGAUCUAGGUGUCAUACCUAGUGCAUCGGGUCCAAUGAAAAUCUUUUGUGACAAUACUGGUGCAAUUGCCUUGGCAAAGGAAUCUAGAUUUCACAAGAGAACCAAGCACAUCAAGAGACGCUUCAAUUCCAUCCGGGAUCUAGUCCAGGUGGGAGACAUAGAGAUUUGCAAGAUACAUACGGAUCUGAAUGUUGCAGACCCAUUGACUAAGCCUCUUCCACGAGCAAAACAUGAUCAGCACCAAGGCUCCAUGGGUGUUAGAAUCAUUACAGUGUAAUCUAGAUUAUUGACUCUCGUGCAAGUGGGAGACUGAAGGAAAUAUGCCCUAGAGGCAAUAAUAAAGUUAUUAUUUAUUUCCUUAUAAUCAUCAUAAAUGUUUAUUAUUCAUGCUAGAAUUGUAUUAACCGGAAACAUAAUACAUGUGUGAAUACAUAGACAAACAAAGUGUCACUAGUAUGCCUCUACUUGACUAGCUCGUUAAUCAAAGAUGGUUCUGUUUCCUAACCAUGAACAAUGAGUUGUUAUUUGAUUAACGAGGUCACAUCAUUAGUUGAAUGAUCUGAUUGACAUGACCCAUUCCAUUAGCUUAGCACCCGAUCGUUUAGUAUGUUGCUAUUGCUUUCUUCAUAACUUAUACAUGUUCCUAUAACUAUGAGAUUAUGCAACUCCCGUUUGCCGGAGGAACACUUUGGGUGCUACCAAACGUCACAACGUAACUGGGUGAUUAUAAAGGAGCAUUACAGGUGUCUCCAAAGGUAGAUGUUGGGUUGGCGUAUUUCGAGAUUAGGUUUUGUCACUCCGAUUGUCGGAGAGGUAUCUCUGGGCCCUCUCGGUAAUGCACAUCACAUAAGCCUUGCAAGCAUUGCAACUAAUGAGUUAGUUGCGGGAUGAUGUAUUACAGAACGAGUAAAGAGACUUGCCGGUAACGAGAUUGAACUAGGUAUUGGAUACCGACGAUCGAAUCUCGGGCAAGUAACAUACCGAUGAUAAAGGGAACAACGUAUGUUGUUAUGCGGUCUGACUGAUAAAGAUCUUUGUAGAAUAUGUAGGAGCCAAUAUGGGCAUCCAGGUCCCGCUAUUGGUUAUUGACCGGAGACAUGUCUCGGUCAUGUCUACAUUGUUCUCGAACCCGUAGGGUCCGCACGCUUAAGGUUACGAUGACAGUUAUAUUAUGAGUUUAUGCAUUUUGAUGUACCGAAGGUUGUUCGGAGUCCCGGAUGUGAUCACGGACAUGACGAGGAGUCUCGAAAUGGUCGAGACGUAAAGAUUGAUAUAUUGGAAGCCUAUGUUUGGAUAUCGGAAGUGUUCCGGGUGAAAUCGGGAUUUUACCGGAGUACCGGGAAGGUUACCGGAACCCCCCGGGAGCUAAAUGGGCCAUGAUGGGCCUUAGUGGAAAAGAGAAGAGGCAGCCCUACAUGGGCUGCGUGCCUCCCCCUUCCCCUAGUCCUAUUAGGACUAGGAGAGGUGGCCGGCCCCCUCUCUCUCUUUUCCCCCUCCGCGAAUCCUAUUCCAACUAGGAUUGGGGGGGAAUCCUACUCCCAGAGGGAGUAGGACUCUCCUGGCGCACCCCUUGUGGCCGGCCAGCCUCCCCCCCUUUGGUCCUUUAUAUACUAAGGUAGAGGCACCCUAGAACACAUAAGUUUAUCCACGUGAUCUAUUCCUUAGCCGUGUGCGGUGCCCCCGGCCACCAUAGUCCUCGAUAAUACUGUAGCGGAGUUUAGGCGAAGCCCUGCUGCUGUAGUACAUCAAGAUCGUCACCACGCCGUCGUGCUGACGGAACUCUUCCCCGACACUUUGCUGGAUCGGAGUCCGGGGAUCGUCAUCGAGCUGAACGUGUGCUCGAACUCGGAGGUGCCGUAGUUUCGGUGCUUGCUCAGUUGGAUCAUGAAGACGUACGACUACUUCCUCUAUGUUGCGUCAACGCUUCCGCAGUCGGUCUGCGUGGGUACGUAGACAACACUCUCUCGUCUCGUUGCUAUGCAUCACAUGAUCUUGCGUGUGCGUAGGAAAUUUUUUGAAAUUACUACGAAACCCAACAGUUCGCGGGCGCCGCCGGCAUCGAGCAAGAGCAGUGCAUGCUAGGUAGCCGCCGCUCGCGUCCCAGGAAGGCCGCCGCUCUUCCCCUCCACCUGAAUCCAAGAUGGAGGGUUGAUAAUCGGUGGCCGAUUAAUCGUUCAAGCUGCGGUGGUGGAGGUUGCGGAGGCAGAGCUAGAGAGCGCAGAGGCGGAACUAGAGAAGGCGAAGUCAAGUGCUGGAGCUUUAGUUCUUGGGGCUCAUGACCGAACACGGGGAACGGGCACCACUGAUCAUUUAGAUUAGGUUUAGAAUAGAAGUAUGUCCAAAAUUAUACCUCAGAGUCGGACGAGCUCCGCUUUUAGUUAAAAUAUGUCUGAAUGUAAUGAAUUUCAUCAUGUUUGCAUGAAAUCCGCUGUGUUUGAUUGAAUCUCUUCCGGUUUAUAUCAAAAUUCACUUGGUUUGCAUGAAUUCCAUUUAGUUCAAAAUGUGGUUGAACUUUAUGCGGGUGGCGUUGGAUGACGGCCUCCGGCAUCAGUGCCUGCGGACUGAUCCUCUUGUUCUCGGACAGAUGUAGGAGCAAAUUUGCGGGUUAGCAUUGGAGAUGGGACAACAUUGUAGUACAUGCGAGCGGGCGGAGGCACAGGAGGUGGAUGUGGCAGACGUGGUGGUCGGGCUACAGGAACCGGACGAAUGAAACGUACACACAUGGACAUGAAAUUCCGGACCCGAAAGUGCUUGGCAAUGGUGGAUGGCGUGAAGGCUUUGCCUGAGGUGGAAGACUUAACAUUGUUGUUGAGCGGCUGGUUAGCAACGCUAACCCCCGUGGUGGUCUGGAUUCAAAUGGGGAAGAAUAAGAUGAGGAAUAGGAGAACACACUAAAGAAACCGACCUGAUAACGGAAGAGGAGAACACACUAGUUCAAGCACCUGCCUGUCUGUAGUAACCAUCCAUGUCACCUCUAGACAGUAGUAAAAGCACCCUUCACAAUGGUCUGUCUUUUAUGGUAAUUGUAGCACCUUAAAUUAUGAAUUUAACUGAAAUUACUCCAAUUUUAUCCAUCUCCAGCCGGCCGGGCACAAACGCAGUGCACAGUCAGUGGAUGAACAAUACAUACGCGAAGCAGAUGGAUCAUGAUCUGGUCGAUUCAUCGGGAAAAUAACGCACAACAUGCAAAGCUUGCUUGAUGCCACACCAUGCAGCCCCACUCUAGCACCUGCUGCUCGAUCGGCAUGCGUGCAUCAAGCAGUGCGGUUCUCGCGGAGGAGAUGGUGACAGAGAAAAGCAAAAAAAAAUCGCGGGAUUGGAUUUUUGGAGCACGAGAUAUGAUGGUUUGACAGAGGAAAUACCAAAUUACCGACACCCUAGCGUACAAUGGGAGAAAGGCUGUUGAUACUAGCGAUUUUUUUGGGCUAUCGGCUGCCUACUCUCUCCUCCUUCUCUCUCCUUCACCUAGAUUAGUUCCUUAUGUGGUAUAGCUUAUAGACGGCUAACAAAGCACUAUUGUACAUGCCCUAAAAGAAACUGACCCGACGUUAUUUGGGAAGUGAUCUGCGCCGGUCAACCGGCCCAAUGCUUCCACCGGUCGCUGGAACAUCGUCCGAUUGGACAAUGCUUAGCCGUCAGAUCCCCUCCCCCGAGUCAACUCUCUUCUUUCUCAUAUCGUUCUCACACCCUAACCACCAAAUCCACGCCGGCACCAGUAGCCCUCGCCGGAACCACCAGCGUGCACGUCUCUGGGUCGCGCCCACGCACCUUCUGCCAUGUGCGCGCCCUGCUGCCCCCAUUCGCAGCUCCAGUUCAUGUCCCACUAGAAUGCAACUUCUUUCCUUGAUGGUUGAAGCUUUUCCCCCUAAGGUUGAAGCUUUUUCCUUGAGGUUGUAGCAUCCGCGCGCCGGUUUCACCGUGAAUCACGUCGGCUCCAGCAUCCGCGUCCCAGGUCGCUGCUCCCCGUCGAUGCAGCACGCGAUCACCGCGGUGGUAGCAAAAAAGCGUAUCGGUUGUAGCAAUCCUGGUAGCCGUGGUUACCCCAUGUUGUCGCUCGUCACACCAUCGCACUCCGGUUGCACCACCACACGCCAAUUGCAGCAAAAAUUGAUCACUGGUGGUAGCUUUCCCACAGCCGUUUGCAACAAAUUUGCAGCCCAUCGUCACUGGCGACACUUCAUCGCCUCCUGGUUGUAGCGAAAGCAGGUGCCGGUGGUAGCUUUUCGGUUAUCUGUUGCAGCAAAAAAUGUGUGUCGUCAUCGCCGGCAAUGCUCGUCGUCACCUGGUUGUAGCAAACCCGAGCGCCGGUUGUAGCUUUCCCUGUGCCAGUUGAAGCUAAUCACAAAGCCAGUUGCAGCUUCAGCACCAGUGGCAAUCACCUUUAGUUCUUGCCGAUUGUAGAAACGUAUGACCUCGCCAAGGAGAUGCACGGCCAUGGCUUCCCUAGGUUGUAAGCAACCGAUGGCCUCCCUUUGCAAACACCUUUCUCUCAUCUGGAAAACAAAACGUAGGAAAAGGGCUCGCAGAAGCUCGCUGGCGGCGUAGGAGAAGGAUACAGCCGCAACGGGGGAGGCAGAUGGGAGAGCGGCGCGUCUGGAGGAAGGAGAGGGAGGGAGAUGGGAUCUGAACGAGUGGUCGAGAGAGAUCUGAACGGAGGAAGAGAUGUGGAUGGGACCGGCCUUGUAUGACAUGGCCACGUCGGGAACCAACAGGGGACGAUGGAUCUGGAUGAUAGUGCGACUCGCGCGUGACUGGCCCAAGCUUCGGCCGGUCCGCCGGUCACAAACGUUUCCCAUGUUAUUUUCUAUUACCCAAAGGUUGUUGUCCUGUUGGAGCAAGGGAGAGACCUCUGUGCGAAAGAAAGAAGAACAAUAAGGGCAUCUCCAGCCGCGCCCCCAACAGGCCCCCCAGGCCACUUUUUUUAUGUCAGCGCCGGAAAAAAAAUCCUAGUCGCGCCUCAAGAUGCUAAAAUCUGCCAGCUCGGCCUAUUUUUGGGCCCGACGAUUCCAGGCCGAACCCAGCGCACUAGGGGGCGCUUGGGGGCUCCGGUGUAAGGGAAAAACUGCGUCUGGCCCACACUGUCAGGAGAAAAGUUAGCCAGCACGUUCAGAUUCGCCCCUCCCCCCCCCCCGCGCGUGCACGUCCUCUCGCUGCCUUGCCGAUCCCGGUGCCGUCUCGCCGCCCACCACCGCUAUAUAGGCCAUUCCCCGCCAGAAAAAGGGAGAGGGUUUCACCGCGGCAACUUCUCCACCACCUUCCUGGGCGAGUUUUCCGGCGCUCCGGCCGCGCAGGGCGGGAUACCGGCGGUUGUGCCCACCACGCCCGCCAGGUGUUUGACUAUUUGUUUGUUCGGUGAUGGAAUCGAACGACGAGGAGGCACUCACGGCGCCGGUGGAGGAGUGUAGGAUCGAAAGUAUGUCUAGAGGGGGGGUGAUUAGACUACUUGACCAAAUAAAAACUUAACCUUUUCCCAAUUUUAGUUCUUGGCAGAUUUUAGCUAUUUUAGGACAAGUCAAGCAAUCAUCACACAAUUCAAGCAAGCAUGCAAAGAGUAUAUUGGCAGCGGAAAGUAAAGCAUGCAACUUGCAAGAAUGUAAAGGGAAGGGUUUGGAGAAUUCAAACGCAAUUGGAGACACGGAUGUUUUUCCCGUGGUUCGGAUAGGUGGUGCUAUCCUACAUCCACAUUGAUGGAGACUUCAACCCACGAAGGGUAACGGUUGCGCGAGUCCACACAGGCUCCACCCAAGGGCAACGGUUGCGAGAGUCCACACAGGGCUCCACCCACGAAGGGUCCACGAAGAAGCAACCACCCACAAAGGGUCCACGAAGAAGCAACCUUGUCUAUCCCACCAUGGCCAUCGCCCACAAAGGACUUGCCUCACUAGCGGUAGAUCUUCACGAAGUAGGCGAUCUCCUUGCCCUUACAAACUCCUUGGUUCAACUCCACAAUCUUGUCGGAGGCUCCCAAGUGACACCUAGCCAAUCUAGGAGACGCCACUCUCCAAGAAGUAACAAAUGGUGUGUAGGUAAUGAACUCCUUGCUCUUGUGCUUCAAAUGAUAGUCUCCCCAACACUCAACUCUCUCUCAUAGGAUUUGGAUUUGGUGGAAAGAAGAUUUGAGUGGAAAGCAACUUGGGAAGGCUAGAGAUCAAGAUUCAUAUGGUAGGAAUGGAAUAUCUUGGUCUCAACACAUGAGUAGGUGGUUCUCUCUCAGAACAUAUGAGUUGGAAUGGUGUGUGUGUUCUGAUGGCUCUCUCUUCGAAUGAGAAGGAGGUGGAGGGGUAUAUAUAGCCUCCACACAAAAUCCAACCGUUAUACAGUUUUCCAAUCUCGGUGGGACCGAAUCAAUAAACUCCGUCGGACCAAAAAUGUAAACCUAGUGACCGUUAGUGAUUUCGGUGGGACCGACAUGCAACUCGGUAGGACCGAUUCGGUUAGGGUUUGGGCAUAACGUAAUCUUGGUGAGACCGAUUACACAAACUCGGUGAGACCGAAUUUGGUAACUAGCUAACCAGAGAGUUGGUCAGGCAAACUCGGUGGGACCGAUUUGCUCUUUCGGUGAGACCGAGUGGAACUCGGUGAGACCGAAAAGUUACAAAGGGGAAACACUGAGUUUACAUUGCAAUCUCGGUGGGGCCGAUUCGCUCUUUCGGUGGGACCGAAAAGUUACGAAAGGGAAACAGAGAGUUUGCAACCCCAUCUCGGUGAGACCGAAAUCCCUAUCGGUAGGACCGGAUUGCUAGGGUUUGGCAGUGGCUAAUGACAAGUGAAACUCGGUGGCACCGGAUAGGAAGAAUCAGUAGGACCGAGUUUGGCUUAUGGUUUAGGUCAUAUGUGGAUAUGGGAAAGUAGUUGAGGGUUUUGGAGCAUAUCACUAAGCACAUGAAGCAAGAGGCUCAUUAAGCAACACCUCAUCCCUCCUUAAUAGUAUUGGCUUUUCCUAAAGACUCAAUGUGAUCUUGGAUCACUAAAAUAUGAAAUGAAGAGUCUUGAGCUUUUGAGCUUGAGCCAAUCCUUUGUCCUUAGCAUUUUGAGGGUUCCACUUUCACAUCCAUGCCAUGCCAAUCAUUGAGCUUUCCUGAAACAAUCAUCUUGAAAUAGCAUUAGCUCAAUGAGCUAUAUGUUGUUAUGAAUUACCAAAACCACCUAGGGAUAGUUGCACUUUCAAUCUCCCCCUUUUUGGUAAUUGAUGACAACAUAUAGAUCAAAGCUUCGACAAAAGAUAAUAAUCAUGAAAUUUAUCGUCGCUUUGAGAAGUAUGUGAUAAGUAAGAGCUCCCCCUAAAUUUGUGCAUAUUUAAAAUUUGCUUUUGGACUGCAAAUGCACAAAGAAGUUAGAAUUAUGGGUUACUCUUCCAUGUCACAUACAUCUUGGUGGAGCGCUCAAAAAUGAUAAGAAUGAAAUACAUGCACUCAUCACCAAGAACAAUGAAUGAUCACAAACGAUAGAUAGAAUGAUAAUAUUUAAGCAAGCAUUAAGCAAACAUUAAGUGUAGCUUAUGAUCAAACACAUGAUCGUCAAUGUCUCACAAAUAAUAACGUAGUAUCUCAAGCACUCAAAAGCAAACAAGUUUGAAAAACCACCAAAUAAAGCAAGAGAGAAAAGCAACACUCUCUCUCUCUCUCGAAGCCUAUGAUCUAUACAUCUUCUCCCCCUUUGGCAACAAGUUACCAAAAAGUUCCUAGAAAAUGCAUAGCACUAGAUCGACGCUCAGGCUUGAUCUUUAGGUGGUGGUGGAGUCCGGAUCACUCCAAGGACGAAGGCUUCGAUAGAUGCUGAAGUAGUCGCUGGAGUUGGAGCUGAAGUAGAUGCUGGAGCUGGUGGAGUUGAGGCUGUAGCUGGUGCUGAAGUGGUGGCUCUGGUGUCAGCAACUGGCACGGCAGAUGACCUCAGGCCUCGUGGCACUCUGGCAAAGGUAUGAGUGGUAGUCCUGCCUCUCCUCUCCUGCAUGUCCUCCUGGAGCUGCUCCACUGCAGACUGAACUUCUGUUACCUUGACAUCCAAGUCAUAGAACUUCUGUUCCAUGAUCGUCUCUAGGCUCUGCUGAUUCUGAGUGAGAGUGGCCAGACUUUGCUCAAUCCUUAGCGUGGAUGCAAUCAAGUAACCGAGCUGCUCUUGUUUGGUCUUCAAGAAGUAUUCAGAUGCCUCCUCUUUGGUAGGCAUCUUGGCAGCUUUCUCCUUCCUUGCCUUCUCCUUCUUUGCAAAUGCUUGGGCAGAUGAUGGCUCGUUCUCAGUCAUGACAACUUCAUUGUCCUCAAAAUCUGGACGGAUGGGCAGGUGUUCUUUGUCCAACAGAUAUAUGCCCGUGCCCAUUUUGGAGUUGAUGAGCUCCUGAAUUUGAGGGGCAUAUCCGUAGCUCCUCUUUUGAUCUGCUGCAGUCCUCUUAAUCGUUUCCACUAUGAGGAUCAUCACCUUGAACUUCUGAGGCACAUCAAACACAUGUAGCAAGUUGAUAGCAUGGCCUCUGAUCAUCUUGUGAUCUCCAGACUUAGGCAAUAAGGUGUGCCUUAGUAUCCAAUUGAUCGUCGGGAGCCCUGACAGAAGGUAAUGUACUGAGCCAAACUUGAAGGUAUCAAGUGCUUCAUUGGGAAUUUCCUUGUACAUAUUGGACAUGGAGUUAUGGUCCAUCUUCUUCUUGGCAUAGAUAUCCAAGUCAUCAUCUUGCUCCUCUAGGGCAUUUAUGAUCUGUGCCCACUCAGCCACUGUAGAUUGGUACCUUGUACCCUCAGACAUCCAUGUGAUCCUCCCAUCUGGAUAAAAGUGAGCUGUGGAGUAGAACUGCAUGAUGAGUUCUUCGUUCCACUUUGUGAGCUUCUGCCCAACAAAGUCAGCUACUCCACAAGCUAUGAAGCUGUCUUGCACUCCAGGAUAGUGCUCCUUGUUGUCCUUGAUGUAUGUCCAAUCAACCCAACGCAUAUCACAGACAAUGGGCUUCUUAUCUAACAGCAUAGUCUCAUAGAAAUCCUGCUGCUCCUUGGUGUGAAACUUGUAGUCCACGGCAUUCCUUCUCCUUGAAGCAUAUGGGUCUGCUUCUCUCCAUUUCCUCAGCCCUGAAUCUCUUCUGAGCUUCAUGUCCUCAGCCACAGGAUGAGCAUCGUUGUGGUCUGGGAUCUUGGGCUUUAGCUUCCUUAGGACAUUUUCCUCUUCUUCUUCAGCAACAGUCUCAGGCACUGGGGCCUUGUUCUUUUCAGCUGCAGGGAUGCUCCGUGUAUUCCUCUUGGGCUUUGGAGCUGACUUGGCUUUGGAAGCAGCUCCCCCUGAUUUUAUGGCAUCUCCCAUAAGCUUGGGUGCCUUGGGCGUUGGUGCAGCUGCCUCCUCUUCUUCUUCCUCCUCUUCCAUGAUGGAAGCUUUGCCAAGUACCCUAGCCACAGUCUUCUUCACCCUCUCCUUCCUUUUCUUGCCCUCAGCUGCAACUGGCUCUUGGGGAGUGGGCUUCUCAGUUGAGGCUCUAGCCUUUGACAUGGGCUGCCUGCCUGCUGGCCUUUUGAUUUUUAGACCUGGCUUAGUGCCUUGAGCUGGCUCAAUUCUCUUGGAAGUGGCCUCUUCCUCUGCCACAUAGUCCUCAUCUUCAGAAUCUGAGGUUUUCUUCUUCCUUUGCCUAGUGGCAGCUUUAGGCAGGUUGCUGGGUAUGCUCCUGCUGCCAUCAUCUGAGGAACUUGAGGGACUAGUGCCCUCACUCAUCACUACUUGCUGCUCUGACAUAUUUUGGCUAUCACUUUGAUCAGACAUGCUGCAACUGACUGCUGACCCUGUGAAUAGAUUAUAGAUGAGGUAGAAAGGAUGAGCAUCACAAAAUGCAGAGAUUUUUGCAAAAGAAUAAUUCAAAAACCUAGUUUUAGUUUCCCACUGAAAUCAUCUUGGAUCUACCGACUUUCAAACUCGGUGAUACCAAAGCAGUUUUGGAACCUAAACUAGUGAACUCGGUAGGACCGAGUCACAGUUUGGUGGCACCGAGACUGCUAGGGUUUCACUGAGUUCAAAAAUCGGUCACACCGAUAAGUAAUUCUCGGUCAGACCGAGUCUCACUUGUGCAAUGGCAUAAGCCAAAUCGGUGGGACCGAGUUUUUCAACUCGGUGGGUCCGAGAUGGUUUCGGCGGAGACCUAAACCUAGAAUUUUCGAAUCAAACCUAAUCUAUGAGCGUUUUGACUGGAUAGGAGUUUAUCAAACGUGGCUAGAAACAAUAUGAUCACAAUGUGCUAGGAAUCAGAUUGAGGAAUAGCACAAAGAUCAAGUCCAUACCCUAGUUCGGCGGGGACUUGCUACGGCGGCAACGGCGGGGCAGAAAUCCUGUUGACGGCGACGGAGACCAGCGACUGGAGGCUGCUGGCGGCGAGAAGACGAUUCGGAGACCUCGAGGGCAGAGCAGGCUAUCGCGCGGGCGAAGGGGUUCGGAGAAAUUUCCAAAUUUUGCCCAUGACUAUAUAUAGCCUGACCCUGUCGGUGUGACCGAGUGGAACAACUCGGUGGCACCGAGAUUCAUAAAUGCAAGCAGUUACUGAAACUCGGUGUGACCGAAAGGUUCAAAUCAGUUGCACCGAGAUCGAAAACCUAGAUCAACUUAAUGAUCUCGGUAGGACCGAAAGUGGAGUAUCGGUCAGACCGAGAAUCAUGAAGAGGUUUUGGAAGUUUAAGUCUAUGACGAAUCGGGGACUCCGAGCGCUCCUCACACAGAGUGGUUCGAAUCUGACUUGAUCAAAUUUUGUGAUGCAGCAUGAAUAGAGUUUGAGACGAGAAAAGCAUAGAUAGCUAGAGGAGGUUCUUAGGCAUUCUUGUCCAUCCACUUGGCAAAAGAAGAUAAAACCAAACAAUCAAAACAACAAGUGGAUGUCCUCGAAUGAGUAAAAUAUGCAACCAGCAUGCUCACACAAUAAGAUGGCAAAUGAAAUAUGUGGCAAGGCAUGCACAACCAAUUCUAGCAUCUAUCAAGCAAUUUGCGAUGACUAGGUCAUCUAUAUAUGAGUAUAUUGACUUAGGAGUCAAGUGAGAACACUUGAUCAUAGGUCAUACUCAUCAUUUAAGCUCAAGUGGGGUUACCACUUUUACAUAAAGCAUUGUUGUGUUCACAUCUUUAGAGUUGCUUUAGCUCAAGUCUUAGAGUAAAGCUCCCCCUAGAUGUGAUAUCCCCCCUAAGAGGGAUGAACUAACCUUGGGUUUUGUCGAUGAUGACUUCAUGUAGAUGUUGAAGAUGUGGAUGCUCAAUGUUGAUGUAGAUCACUUGGAGCUAUCCAUUUGAGUGAAUUGCACUUUCAAUACCUACAUGGGUUAGUCCCACAAGGAACAAGCAAGGAUAUCCAUAGACAUAGAGUGAUGCACACAAAAGAUGAUGUCCAUGAAAACUUUUAGGUUACCUUGUCCCUUGUCUUACCAACAAGAGGGUUUGUGACUCCUUGAACUAGUGCAAGAUGUGGAAGUUGAUUGCACUUGUUCUUGCCAAAAUGAUAAGAGUGAAGUAUGUUGGCGGAGUCACCCUCAAGAACUCUCUAGUUCUUCUUCUUUUGGAUCCACAUCAUCUUGAUGGGAAUCCUUGGAGUUGUAGUCAUACUUGAUGAAGUGGAACUUGAAGUAGUCUUGGGAAUCCACUUGACUAAGGUCUUAGGAGCUUCUUCAAAUGCAUCAAUUUCCUCUUGAAGCUUGUCCUUGCCUUUUUGCUCGUAGUUUUGUGGUGGAAGAUCAUCUUGAGCUUGUGUCCCCUUGAAAGAAGUAUACUUCUCUUGUUAAGGGACAAACUUUGUCUUGGGGUAUUGAUCUUCUUCCCAUUCAAUUCCAUUGGCAUUGAACUUUCAUUCAAAACCAACACCUUGAUUCUUCGGUGCAUUCCUUGCUUACGCACAAUUUCCUCGAAUUGCUUACUCCCGGCAAGGCUUUUGUACACUCCUUUCUCUAUAAUUCCCUUCAAUAAGCUAUUUUCUUGCUCAAGUGUAACUUGGCUAAGAGAAUCAUUAGUGGAAUCAAGAGAACUACUAGAAGCAACAAUAUUGAAUUUAGCAUAAUCAUUGUUACUACUAGAGGAAGGAUCUUUCUUGUUAGACUUGACUUGAGGCAUGUAAGUGGAUAAGAGUAAACGCUUGGCAAUGUAAGAAGAACUUUUCUUGCGGAGAUCAUCAUUGAUUGCCUUUAAAAACUCAUGCUCUUGCUCAAGAUUGAGCUUUUCAAAGCGUAGUUUCUCAUGAGCCCUUAAAAGUUCUCGAUGAUCUUCGAAGAUAGUGUCAUGAGCUAACUUAAGAGUUUUUAGUUCUUUAGUUAGAGCCUCAAUCUUCUCCUUAUCAUUGUCAUUCGUUUUAUCUUGAUUAGCAUGAUUAAUUGGUCUUUCAUCAUAGUAUUCAUCACUAGAGUUGUCACCAAGCAAAUCAUCACCUAACAAGUCAUCUUCAUCACUAUUGAAAUCAACAUACUCGGGGUGUGUUACCUUAGGACCUUUGGCCAUGAAGCAUCUUCCAAUUCCUUCAUUUGGUGAGUCAAAUAUGUUGUAGGAGUUGGUUGACACAAGUGCUAGACCGGCAACACCUUCAUCUUGAGUAUCUUCGAAGUCGGAGUGAUAACUUCUCUCGGAGUGGCUGUCGGAGUCGGAUACCCAUUCACCAACAUGAGCUUGAUGUCUUCGUCUUGUGUAGCUCCUUGAUGAUUUUUCCUUCCUUUCUGAAUCCUUGCUUCUCCGUGAGUAUCUUCGUUCAUAACGAUCAUCUCUACUCCUUCUCUCUCUUGGUGGUGAUCCUUUGCUUCUUCUUUUUGGAGAAUCUUCUCUUCUCUUGUAGGGAGCCGUACACUCAUUGGAAUAGUGUCUGGGUCUUCCACAAUUGUAACAGUUUCGCUCUCGACUAGAAGAUCUUUUGUCAUUGUAGGACCUUGACUUGGAGUUUCUAUCUUUGCUUCUACUCUUGUAGAACUUGUUUAAGUUCUUCACCAUUAAGCUCAAUUCUUCAUUGAAGUCUUGUUUCUCACUUGAUGAUGUAGGGGCUUCACAUGAGGCUUUAUAGGCACCACUUGAUUUGUUGUGAAGUUCCUCUUUAUCCUUAAGUGACAUCUCAUGAGCAACAAUUCUUCCAAUCACCUCCGUUGGCUUGAGAUCUUUGUAAUUGGGCAUCAUUUGGAUUAAUGUGCACACGGUAUCAUAUUUUCCAUCCAAGGCUCUUAGAAUCUUCUUGAUGAUGAAUCUAUCGGUCAUCUCUUCACUUCCUAAGCCGGCAAUCUCAUUUGUGAUGAGAGCAAGCCUAGAGUACAUUUCAGCGACACCUUCACCAUCCUUCAUCUUGAACUUGUUGAGUUGGCUUUGAAGCACAUCCAAUUUGGAUUCCUUGACGGAGUCGGUACCUUCGUGCAUAUCAAUCAAAGUGUCCCAAAUUUCCUUUGCAUUCUCAAGACGGCUGAUUUUGUUGAAUUCUUCGGGGCACAAUCCGUUGAAGAGAAUAUCACAAGCUUGAGCAUUGUAUUGCAACAUCUUCAACUCAUCCGCGGUAGCUUCACGGUUUGGUUCUCUUCCAUCAAAGAAGUCACCUUGCAAACCAACACACACAAUAGCCCAAACGGCGGGGUUAUGUCCAAGAAUAUGCAUUUUCAUUUUAUGCUUCCAACUAGCAAAAUUAGUACCAUCAAAGUAAGGACCUCUACGGUGAUAAUUUCCCUCGCUAGACGCCAUACUCUCCUAGGUUGUGAAACCAAGGCUAUGACCACCAAAAGCUAUGGAGAUCAAGCAAAUGGAGACCAAAGCUCUGAUACCACUUGUAGGAUCGAAAGUAUGUCUAGAGGGGGGUGAUUAGACUACUUGACCAAAUAAAAACUUAACCUUUUCCCAAUUUUAGUUCUUGGCAGAUUUUAGCUAUUUUAGGACAAGUCAAGCAAUCAUCACACAAUUCAAGCAAGCAUGCAAAGAGUAUAUUGGCAGCGAAAAGUAAAGCAUGCAACUUGAAAGAAUGUAAAGGGAAGGGUUUGGAGAAUUCAAGCGCAAUUGGAGACACGGAUGUUUUUCCCGUGGUUCGGAUAGGUGGUGCUAUCCUACAUCCACGUUGAUGGAGACUUCAACCCACGAAGGGUAACGGUUGCGCGAGUCCACACAGGGCUCCACCCAAGGGCAACGGUUGCGCGAGUCCACACAGGGCUCCACCCACGAAGGGUCCACGAAGAAGCAACCACCCACAAAGGGUCCACGAAGAAGCAACCUUGUCUAUCCCACCAUGGCCAUCGCCCACGAAGGACUUGCCUCACUAGCGGUAGAUCUUCACGGAGUAGGCGAUCUCCUUGCCCUUACAAACUCCUUGGUUCAACUCCACAAUCUUGUCGGAGGCUCCCAAGUGACACCUAGCCAAUCUAGGAGACACCACUCUCCAAGAAGUAACAAAUGGUGUGUAGGUAAUGAACUCCUUGCUCUUGUGCUUCAAAUGAUAGUCUCCCCAACACUCAACUCUCUCUCAUAGGAUUUGGAUUUGGUGGAAAGAAGAUUUGAGUGGAAAGCAACUUGGGAAGGCUAGAGAUCAAGAUUCAUAUGGUAGGAAUGGAAUAUCUUGGUCUCAACACAUGAGUAGGUGGUUCUCUCUCAGAACAUAUGAGUUGAAAUGGUGUGUGUGUUCUGAUGGCUCUCUCUUUGAUGAGAAGGAGGUGGAGGGGUAUAUAUAGCCUCCACACAAAAUCCAACCGUUACACAGUUUUCCAAUCUCGGUGGGACCGAACCAAUAAACUCGGUCGGACCGAAAAUGUAAACCUAGUGACCGUUAGUGAUUUCGGUGGGACCGACAUGCAACUCGGUAGGACCGAUUCGGUUAGGGUUUGGGCAUAACGUAAUCUCGGUGAGACCGAUUACACAAACUCGGUGAGACCGAAUUUGGUAACUAGCUAACCAGAGAGUUGGUCAGGCAAACUCGGUGGGACCGAUUUGCUCUUUCGGUGAGACCGAGUGGAACUCGGUGAGACCGAAAAGUUACAAAGGGGAAACACUGAGUUUACAUUGCAAUCUCGGUGGGACCGAUUCGCUCUUUCGGUGGGACCGAAAAGUUAGGAAAGGGAAACAGAGAGUUUGCAACCCCAUCUCGGUGAGACCGAGAUCCCUAUCGGUAGGACCGGAUUGCUAGGGUUUGGCAGUGGCUAAUGACAAGUGAAACUCGGUGGCGCCGGAUAGGAAGAAUCGGUAGGACCGAGUUUGGCUUAGGGUUUAGGUCAUAUGUGGAUAUGGGAAAGUAGUUGAGGGUUUUGGAGCAUAUCACUAAGCACAUGAAGCAAGAGGCUCAUUAAGCAACACCUCAUCCCUCCUUAAUAGUAUUGGCUUUUCCUAAAGACUCAAUGUGAUCUUGGAUCACUAAAAUAUGAAAUGAAGAGUCUUGAGCUUUUGAGCUUAAGCCAAUCCUUUGUCCUUAGCAUUUUGAGGGUUCCACUUUCACAUCCAUGCCAUGCCAAUCAUUGAGCUUUCCUGAAACAAUCAUCUUGAAAUAGCAUUAGCUCAAUGAGCUAUAUGUUGUUAUGAAUUACCAAAACCACCUAGGGAUAGUUGCACUUUCAAGGAGGAAGCUGAUGCCGAUGUCUAGGACGAAGAGCAUCUGAUGGUCCUCGCCGCCUUGGCCGGCCUGCUCGCGAGCAAUGCAAAGUCGCGGCGAGGUGGCUCGACACCGGGGCGGAUGAACGCAAAGAACCGACAUCGACUGGAAGGCUAUUGCAUGCUCCACUCCAACUACUUCGCCGACGCUCCACUACACGGGGACAAAGUAUUUCGGUACCGUUAUCGGAUGAUCCAAAAGCUUUUCCUCGGGAUUGUGAAUUCCAUCUGGGAGUUUGACAGCUACUUCAAGUGCAAGAAGAAUUGCAUCGGCAAACUUGGAUUCACGUCAAUCCAGAAGUGCACGAUAGCUAUGAGGAUGCUUGCAUAUGGAGCUCCCGAUGAUUCACUCGACGACUAUGAGCGCAUGGCCGAGUCCACGGCCAUUGAGUGUUUCUACAAGUUUUGCAGGGCAGUGGUGGCAGUGUUUGGACCGCAAUACUUGCGAUCACCCAAUGCCGAAGACACUGCUCGGAUUCUAGCACAGAAUGCAGCAAGAGGAUUUCCUAGGAUGCUUGGAAGCAUCGACUGCAUGCGUUGGAAAUGAAAAAACUGUCCCUUUGCUUAGCAGGGGAUGUACAAAGACGCCAAAGGUGGUUGCAGUGUGGUACUUCAGGCAGUGGCCACAUAGGACCUAUGGAUUUGGCACUCCUUCUUUGGUAUGCCAGGAACUCACAAUGACAUCAACAUGCUGCAGUGCUCCCCUAUCUUUGCCAAGCUUGUUGAAGAUCAUUCUCCUCCGGUGAACUUCGAGGUCAAUGGGCGGCACUACAACAAAGGAUACUACCUAGCAGAUGGCAUCUAUCCGAGAUGGUCUACAUUUGUGAAGACUAUCUCAAACCCUUUGCCAUGAGGCAAGAACUCCCACUUUACGAAGGUUCAGGAGGCUUGUAGGAAGGAUAUCGAGCGGGCAUUUGGUGUGCUCCAAUCUCGAUUUGCUAUUGUUCAGUACCCCGCUCAGACCUGGUCGAAAGAUCAAAUGUGGGAGAUCAUGACUUGUUGUGUCAUCUUGCACAACAUGAUCAUUGAGAGCGAGCAGAAAGAGCCAGUGUUUGACACUGAACUAUAUUACAGGCAGGGUCCUCUUGCCCAAGUUGAUCACCAACUACCGGCAACCUGGACUGCUUUCCUCAAUAUGCGUCAGGAGAUCCGACACCCACAGAUGCAUCAACAACUGCAGCAGGAUCUGGUGAAGCACCUAUGGAGGCUCAAGGGCAACGCCUAGCUCGACGUGUGAUGAAAUAUGAGUUUCUAUUUGUUGAACUAUAUAAUUUGUAUUGAACUAUUUGAUUUUUAUUGAUUUUCUGUGAUGAACUAUGUGAUAAAAAAUAGCUUCUGUUGAAUUUGCGCUAAAUCACGGUGAAUAUGGGCCGACUUGCGCCGAUAGCGGGCCGAUUUUGCGCCGAAAGUGGGCUGAAAAGCGGGCAAAUUAGCGCCAAAAGUGGGUCGAUAUCGACGUCUGGGGGACCUGGGGACGGCGACUGGGAACCCAAUCGCCCCCAAGCGGAUUUUAGCGCCGGUUCAUCCCCAGACGGCGAUUUUUCAAGCCCCCUGGAGGGGGGCGACGGCUGGAGAUACUCUAACAAAAACAAAUUUUGAUCCUCGGUUUGCGAGCUCACGGGCUACAGUGCUGGCCACUACGCCAACUUCAGCUUUGUGUAUAAUACAAGGGUGCGACCUAGUUAAGGGUAAAAGACCCAGUUUUGCAUUGAUUUUCCGUGUUUUUGUUUCUGUUUUAUCUUUUUUUUCAUUUGUUUCUCUCUGUUUCUUUAUUUGUUUUCACCAUAUUUUACUUUCUUUCUUUUUCUUAUGUUUUAUUCAGAUUUCUCCGUUUUUUCUUCCUUUUACGUCUUUUUUGUUUUUCUUCACCGUUUUUUGUUUUUCUUUUCGUUCUACAUUCAGUUUUUCUUUGUUUCUUUCAUUGUUUUUAUCAUUUUUGGUAUUUCUUGGUUUGCAUUCUACAUUUUUCCUAUAUACGUGGCGCUUGAGGGUUGUGGCGCCAUCAACCUCAGCUGGCACGCGCUAUGGGCCGGCCUAGCUAACCACAAAUCACUCGUUUGCUUCCCAAGCCCUAGGUCGCUCGCUCGCCUAGUUUGACCGGUUGACCAAUGACUUGUUUUCCCGCAAAAAAAUGACUUGUUAACAGUUGAAGUGUCAAAACGUUGACCAUUCACCUUUUUAAAAUAUCAAAAAAAUUAAAAGGAAAGAGAUAAUGUUUGCAAACUAAAAAAAUCAUAAUUUGGUAAAAACGUGGCUUUAAAAAUUCAUGAUUUGUCUUUUAAAAAGCCAUGAAAUAUGGCAAAAGGUUCAUAAUUUUGAAAAAAAAUUGAAAAUUUUCAUGAAAUUUGGGGGGGAAAUUUCACGGAUUUGACUAAAAAUGACAUGGAUUUGGGAAAAGAUCACGCAUUUAAAAAAUCUUCAAUUUUCAAUUAAACUUUCACGAAUUAAAACAAAGUUCUCUGGAUUUCGAAAAAAAGUCACGGGUUUGAAAGAAGUUCAUCGACUUUUCACAAAUUUGAAAAACGUUCAUCAAUUUUGAAAAUAUGUUAUGAAUUCGAAAAAAUUGUGAAAAAAAAGUUCACAAAUUUGAAAAAACAUCACCUGAUUUUUGAAAAAAAAGGCUCGCAGAUUUAAGAAAAGUUCAUUGAUUGUGAUAAAAAUAAAUUUCAAAAAUUUGAAUAAAGUUAAUCAAUUUUGAAAAAGCUGACAUAUUUCAAAAAAUGUUUACAAAUUUGAUAAAGUUCACGAUUCGAAUAAAGUUCCAAAUUUGAUAUUUUUUAUGUAUUUUAGAAAAUAAAAAAGAAGAAGGAACAAGAAAAAAUAAAAACCCAAGUGAAAAAACAGAUGAAAAAUUGGCAAAGAAAAAAAGUCUAGAAGGCACAGAAUAAGAAACAACAGAAGUAUUAGAAAACAUAGUAUGUGAGCCGUCCGAGUUGGUUAUUGAAUUUGGAAGAAAUUUUUUUUGAGACAUUUGGAAGAAAAAAGUGAGGUUCUGAGUUCAAAUCUCACGACCCACGUCUCCUUUUGAAGGUUGAAAAAGAAGAAAAAUGGGCCGAGCCCAGGAUGCGGAGGGUGUACGCCGGAUUGUUCUGUUGCCUUAAACUGGAGUGGUGGAAGGGAAUGAGGGAGGUCCUAUCGGGUGCUUCAGGUGCCCGAACUCCUCCCUGGCGCUCGCUACGCCGCUUAGUUGGGCUGACCGACAAAAACGCGCAGACAGUGAACGCGGUAGAUCUCGCUGAAGCGUCUACAAUACUUGGGUCGGCCCAUAUUCAGAUCCCUGGUCUCCUAUGGGAUCGCCACUCCACUGGGAGCUCCUAUCGGGCUUCAGGCACCGAACUCGUCCCUGACGCUCGCUAUGCGCUUAGUUGGGUCGGCCCACAAAAAGGUAGUGAACGCAAAAACAACUCUACAAGUCCCGAACUCAUGCACAUCGAGGUCACCGUGACUCCCACUAGCCACUCGAGCUACCUAACGUUAGUGAUUUGUGUCAGCGACAAAUGCAUAAUAAACACAGUCGCCACGCUAAUAAUAGCACAGAACCAUCUACUAUAUCGCUUAAUUAUUUUUGAAUUAUUUGGAAAAGGCGUGAAUUAAUAAAAGUUCAUGGAUUUUGAAUCAAGUUCACAAACCAGAAAAAGUUUCAUUGAUUUUCAAAAAAAAAAUAUCAAAUUUGAAAAAAUGAUCUUGGGCUUUGAAAAGAAAAAUCGUUGAAUUUGAAAAUAGUUCAUCAAAUUUGAGAAACAUUCAUCAAAUUUGAAAAAAAAAGUUAACGGAUUUCCCAAAAAAUCAUAAAAUUUGAAAUAGUCCAUAGAAUUUUAAAAAAAACAUCAAAUUUGAAAAAUGUUCAUUGAAUUUGAAAAAAAGUUAAUGGAAUUUGAAAAAUGUUCAUCAAAAUGGAAGGAAGGUUCAUGAAUUUUCAAAAAAAUCAUGGGCUUGAAAAUAGUUCAUCAAGUUUUAAAUAAAGUUCAUCGAAUUUGAAAAAAAAAGUCACCGAAUUUGGAAAGUGUUCAUCAAAUUUGAAGAAUGUUCAUGAAAUUGAAAAAAGUUCAUGAAUUUUCAAAAAAAGUUCAUCGACUUGAAAAUAGUUCAUCGAGUUUGAAAAAAAGUUCAACAAAUUUGAAAUAAAAGUUCAUUGAAUUUGAAAAACAUACGUCAAAUUUGAAAAACAAUAAUCGAAUUUGAAAAUGUUCAUCAAAAUUGAAGAAAAGUUCAUGAAUUUCCAAAAAAGGUCAUCAAGUUUGAAAAAAAGUUCAUGCAUUUUUAAAAAAAGUUCAUCGAGUUUGAAAAAGAAGUUCAUCAAAUUUGAAAAAAGUUCAUGCCUUUUGGGAAAAUAAAAAAAGUAAAGAAAAUGAAAAUAAAAAACAAAAAGGAAAAAAAAGAAAUAGAGUAGAAAAAGAAAGAAAAACAAAUAAAACCGGUCCCAAAAAAACCAGAUAAAAAAGUAAAGCCGGCUGGGAACCCAGGCUUCGAGUGAGAAGACUAAAAGGGAGAAACGAAGUAAUAAGCACAAAGCGCUAGCUUUGCUAGUGGUUAUCGGCGAUGUCCUACGUAGAACAGGUCUGCAGCGGGGGCACAAUCAGGGACAAGUUUGAUGAGGAUAAUAGUAUGUCAGAGGAUGAGACUAGCUUGUUGGCUUUUUUUUAUAGAAGAAAACUUCAUGGGCACCAAAUGAUCAAGGCGAGACUUGAACCCUGGUGGACUGGCUGCAAACUCCCACGCCUUGCCAACUGAGCUACCCUCAGUUCUCAUCCACCUUGUGAUGAUACCGAUGCAUCAAACUCCCCUAGCAUAUUUUAGAUGUUUAGAACUUUUUCUUUAAAAAAUAGCACAUUACACAACAUAAAUGUAUGUUUUCGCAAAAUUUCAAAUUAAAAUUUUAAAAUAGUGUAUGUUGCCUCAAAAUCUCAAACUAAAAUUUAAAACAUAGCUUAGAAAACAAAAUGAUAAAUUUGACACUAAAUAGUACAUAAAUAAACUGGGCUUUAGAUUUGGCCGCUUGUCACAUUGAUGUCUAAUUAAUCAUUUUCGUAUCUCGAGCAUUGUUUUGAAUUUUGAUAUGAACUUUUAUGAUAGUAUACAUUGAUGUUGAGUCAAUAUGCUAGAUUUUAGAAGGAAAAAAAACUCAGGUUUUCAGGGCAUUGCAUUCUCACCAAGCCCCUUUCACACAACCUAUGCUUUCUCUCUCUGAAAGGCCUCUGAUUUCAUGAUCCAAUUUGAAAAACUGGCUGAAAAUUGUAGCUCUAGCUGAAAGAAAUCCCCCACUCAAGUUAGGCCCCGGAAAACCAACCAAUGGAAAGAAUGCGCGACUGAGGCCCUCGUAAAUCAAAUUAUUAUUUGAACUAUAGCGGCAAAUCUCUUGAUAUCGGAGGCUGGUUUCUAGGCAUAGGAGCCGUCAUGCACCCCAACUUGUACAAAAAGGAUCAGAGGUCAAAAUUAGUUAAUGAAUUAUGAUAUUUGUGAAACAUACAUUGAUGUUGUUAAUGUGCUAGAUUUUUAAACAAGGAACUUCAAUUAAGCCAGAUUCUAUUUUUGGGAGUGGGAAUUCAUAAGUCAAUAAAAAAGUGGAAGAGCAUGAAGCUUCAUUCCCUUGCAAGCUGAUAUGGCGCCUGGCAUUUAGAUUCAAAACAGAGCAAUCUCGGGCCGCAGCUUCUAAGAAUAUCAAACUUUGCCAAGAACCCAGCUAGCAGGUUUUGCAGCGACCCUCCCAGAGAGCAUAACAAGCUGACUAUAACUGUACUUACUUGAGGGGGAGUUGACCGGCUGCAAUACAUUGGGAUUCAAUAAUCUGCUGCACAAAAUCUGGUUUGAAAGCUUAACCUGAGGGACCCUUAAGCCAUUGCAGCAACACAAUUCUGGCUAAAGCUGCACAAAAUCUGGUUCUGGAAGCUGAACCCGAGGGACCCUUAACAACCAUUGCGACAGUAAACGUCCUAACUCAAACACAGUUCUGGCUCUCAACAAGGGCAUCAAACAUCUGAACCAAAAAUCCGAGCAGGCACAGACGAGGCGAAAAGCCCCACAGAAAGGAAGAGAAAUAAGAUUAUUCAGGCAAACACAAGUACUGGACUGAACGAUUUAUAUAAUCUUCACAAACCACAACCAAAAAAGAGUACUUGAUUAGCAACUCCAUUACAGAAGUACUAGUUGAUGCGGAAAACAGAAGGUAACUCAUGUCCAACUAACAUGAACCAGGCGUCGUCUGGCGACACCAUCCACAUUUAUUCUUCGCAUAGACAAAGCAGGGACACCUGACCAAAGGAAAUCAGAACGCUCUACUGAGUCUUGGCCAUGUGGCGGAUCAGAUCGACAACGCGGUUGCUGCACAGAAAUAAGAUUCAAGUGUUACAGGCUGAAGCUGAAGCGAUGAAACAGAGACAUUGGAUAGCGUGUUGUAGAAACAAAUCCGUUAUAUGGCAACUAACC